rnacentral:lncRNA from 1 species
UUUGUUUUUUUCUGCAGGAUUUAACUCACUACGGUCUGUAAGGCCAUGCCCCAUUCUUCCACAUCCAAAGCAAAACAUCGGUAGUUUCUCAUACUUAAAAGAAAUCCACGAUUUAUUAAUAUUAUCAAUUAAGGCAAAAAUACCUCGUCAAAGAGAUUCUGCACGUUAAGAUUUAUUCUAAGGCGACACAAUUCUCCAUUAAUUUAAGAUCUGAGCACCCCUCCAAAAGUGACACUAAUGGUAUGUAAUAGAUCUUUUUUAUCAAAUUCUGGUAAACACGAACCUAUCUUUAUCUAAAACAGUGAUGAGUUAAACCGAAUCUGGGAUCUUUCCAUCGGUUGAGUUAACCUGUCAAAUAAUAUUAGGCUUUUCCGGAACAGCCAUGGUCUCCCCUCCAUAAUCGACUUCAGAUCUUCUUCUAAAUCAAACACAAUCAAAAAUAAAUUCUACCCUGCCAUUUGAAUCUUAAACUUCUUUUUUGUCUUCCAUAUGCUUUUCAUCUGUGCCCUAAAACUUUCCGGGUUGUAAAGCUUCUCUGUCCAAAUUGUACAAAUCAGAGUUGGUUUCGCAUUCGAAACCACCAUCAACCCUUUGACAGAUAAUUGAACAAGUUCUUCUGCUAGGAGGGAGAUCUCGUCCCUCUCAUCACCACCGUCACCACCACUUUCCCCUAUCCCAAGCCACAGCAGUUACUACUUUCUCUAGGACUCUCAGCAAAGCACUCUUAGCAACGUGAGUAUAUUGUUACAGUUAUUUUUAAUCUUACUGGCACCUCAUAAAUUAAAGAAUAUUUGAAUGCAAUUAAAAUGCAUAGUUUGGAGAUAAUCACUUCUAAUACAGGAGGACGUGGAUUCAUGAAUUUCAAAUAUUAAAUAAAUCAAUAAGCAACAAUAAUGUAAAAUGUUAUAUUUUUCUUAUCUACGUAAAUACAGUCAAUUUGCAGAACUAAAAUUACGCCACAAUUAGAUUAUUCAUCACAAUCAAAUUGUCCACGAACACAAAUAAUUCAAUUUAGUAAUUACAUGAACUGAUUUUCUAAAAGGAACCACAUCAAUAGACGCUUCUCAAGCUUUCCGAAGUCCAUUUGUUUGCUCUUAUCAAUUUUCAGAGCAUCAUCUUCAUCACUAGCCUCUCCCUCUCCAUCGUUUUUACUAACGCUUUCAUCAUCUUCUUCUCUAUCUUUCGGUCAUUCCAUUUGAUCGGAUUGGGGCGAGAAAAUCAAAGAAGACUAGGCUACGUUAAGGGCGUCAGGGGUAUCCAAUAGAUAGGAAAUGAAACUCGUUGAAAAGAAAAAUUGAACUCUGGGCUUACUCGAAUGCCUUCAUUUCCAUUUGGGUGGGUCUCUUUUGUCUUUAAUGCUCGACAAGCCCACCCCUUUCAUCAUUUCAAGCGGUUCUGAAAGAGACCCCAUGUCUGACAACGGUCCCAAGUUUACUUAAGACAUGUAUAAAUGAUGUUACUUGCUUCACAGCUUUCUUUCUUUGUUGUUUUGUUCUAAAGGUGAAUAACCUGAUCGGUGGAGAAAUUCAUCAUCAUCAUCAUCAUCAUCAUCCACCUCUUCCUCUUCCUCACAUUCAUUUCAUUAGUUACUCUACAAAUAAAUACCACUCUCCAUUCCUCUACACUCCCACUUUCAUAUAUAUAUCACAAAAAUCGACUGAAAUGGCUAAGUUAUUGGGUCCUCUUCCAAACUAUACCUUCCUUUUCCUAUCUUUCCUCCUCCUGGUUUACUCCGGUAAUUAAGCACCAUCUCAUUUUAUAAUCUUCUGAUACUUAAAAAUCUAUACUUAUUGAAUAUAAUUUGAUCUAAUGCUAAGAUAUGUUUGGUUAAACUUUAACGUUUUUGUGGAACAACAACAGGGACGCAAGUGGUGGAAGCACAACUUUGCGAGAGGCGAAGUAGAGCUUGGGCAACCAAUUUUUGUCCGGGCAAUUUACUUUGUAACCGGCAAUGCAGGAAUGCAGAAGGUGCCUUAAGUGGCGCCUGUCUCCGCGAAGUCUUAGGGUUUGCAUGUUAUUGCUACGUUAGAUGCUGAUUAUAGCAUCUAUGUAUGUAUAUUGCACCAAAUCCAACCCUUCAUGUUAUGUAAGUCUAGAAAUAACACUAGACUGAUGCCAGUGUUAUUAUAUUAUCCAAAUAAAGCCGGUGCCAUUAACUAUUACGUAAGCUGCCAUGGCUGAUCUUUCUCGCUCGUGUUGAAUAUGAAAGUAGAUUGUUACAACUUUUUAUACUCUCCUGUCAUUUCAAUGUCUGAAUUGGACUUAAUUUUAAGAUUUAAUUCUUAUAAAUUUUAAAAUUUCAAUUAUUAUAGUGAGCUAAAAUUUUCUACUUAUAUAUAUUACUUAUAAUAUAAUUUAAAUAAUUAAAUUUAAUUAAACAAAUUUAAUUAUUAUUUUUUGAAAUUUAAAAUUUAAAAAAUAUAUAAACUAAAAUUACUAAAAUUAAUUAACUAAUAGGAUUUAACCCAAAAAAAAUCAAGAAUAUGAAAUGGAUGGUUUUAAACACGAGAAAAUACAUAAAUAGCUGUGUUAGGGAAAAUUGAGCUUUGACUAUAAAUACAUAUAAAUCUAAUUGGCCUAUGAAGCAAAGACAAAUGGCCCAUUUCUGGAUAGCCAAUCGGCCGGUUCCGCCGUUUACUUGUUGACCGACCCAACUCGGAUUGUAACGGGGCUGAACCGAACCAUUGAAGUGGGCUGGCCAUUUCGAUUUUGUUUUUGGUGUUCACGUUUCUCUCUCUUUCUCUCUCUCUCAAGCCUUGAAGAAGAAGUAAAGAAGAAAAUCCCUCUUAAAACAGCCUCAGUGAAACGUAGUGAGAGAGGAAAAGCAAAGAUUUUCAGUGGAAGAAAGCUAGCAAUUUGAAUUGGUAUCGUACGGAAAAUGUUCAGGAACCAGUACGAUACCGACGUCACUACAUGGAGCCCAGCUGGGCGGUUGUUCCAAGUGGAGUACGCGAUGGAGGCUGUGAAGCAGGGUUCGGCGGCGAUCGGUCUCCGAUCCAAGACCCAUGUGGUGUUGGGUUGCGUCAACAAGGCUAAUUCCGAAUUGUCUUCUCACCAGAAGAAGAUCUUCGAAGUCGACGACCACAUUGGGGUCGCCAUCGCCGGUCUCACCGCCGACGGUCGCGUGCUCUCUCGGUAUAUGCGAAACGAGUGUAUCAACUACAGCUUCACUUACGAAUCGCCGCUUCCUGUUGGGAGACUCGUCGUCCAGCUCGCCGAUAAAGCACAGGUCUUUUUCAUUUCCUAAAAUCUUCAAUCGUUGUACAUUUUCUAGAAGAAAAUAUUAAGCUUUAAUUUCAGUGCACUUAAGCCGACGGAUGAUGCUGAUUUUGGGGUUCUUUUUGGAAAUUGGAAAUGACUUAAGGAUUUAAAUCCUAAAUGGUUCUUUGCUGAAGUCUUGACAAGCAUGAAGGUUUCGAGCAAUGCUUUCAAAAUAAAUAAAACUUCAAAUCUGUUCUCAAUGAGAAUUAGCUCACUUUUAAGGCUAUUAUGUAGGAAACAUUGAUUGAUCAAGUAAUGUGGAAACUAUACGCAAAUAUCAGUAAUUACAUUGUUGGUGAACCAGUGGAUGAUUAACAAUGUAAAAAAAUGUCCCAACCUGUUUUCUAUUAGAAGAAAAUUUUACUUGAUGACGACUAAGAUAAUACGAAUAGAAAACGGCUACAAUGUAUGUGUGUGUUAGUGAGUUAACUUCACUUUGAAGUUGAAGCUAAGAGGUUGAGUGUACCCGGUAUGAAGUGUCUAGGUCCUCAAUAUCAUACUUGCUGUGAAGUUGCUCUUUGUUUGUGAUCAAACUUCACAGUAUAACACAGGCAAUGGAUUAUGUCAUAAAAAGGAUAAUUUGAAAAGAUUGUUGAUGGUUAUGAGUACCUUACAAUGACCAUUUUGAUACCUAGUUUACAUUAGCAUAUGGUGCUCAGGUUUAAUUGCGCUGGUGUUAUAUGAUCGAGUAGCAUUUUUCCAACUUUCAAAGGAUUACUCAAUAUGGACUCUGUAUAUUUGUUGAGGUAAUUGCUGAUGUUGUUAGUAUUACUGAAUUAAAUGUCAUUGUCAAGUCUCAAGGUUAUCUGCAUAUCAUUUUGGUAUUAAACAUGAUUGUUGAUAAAUCUUCUCUCUGUAUAACUAGUGAGUUUUCAGUUUUUUUUUUGGUGUGUGUCUUUUAUUUUUAACCCUGAUUAAACGAAACAUGGUUGAUGUUAAAGCUAGCAAUAUCUAAUGGAGCACCAAUCCCACUAGAUUUCUUGAAAGUUAAAGUGUUAAACAGUUCUUCAAAAGAAGCAUAAUAAUCUUAUUUGUUUGUGCAAUUGUAAAAAGGAAAAUGCUCAUGUUUUGGUGGCAGGUUUGCACCCAACGCUCUUGGAAACGACCUUACGGCGUUGGCCUGUUGGUGGCUGGCUUGGAUGAAUCUGGGGCUCAUCUUUACUAUAACUGUCCAAGUGGGAAUUACUUCGAAUACCAGGCUUUUGCCAUUGGAUCACGGUCACAAGCUGCAAAGACAUACUUGGAACGGAGGUUUGAGAACUUUACAGACUCCUCGAGGGAUGAUCUGGUGAAAGAUGCUAUUAUGGCAAUAAGGGAGACCCUGCAAGGAGAAACUCUGAAAAGCUCAAUAUGUACAAUUGCUGUGGUAGGGGCUGGAGAACCGUUCCACGUAUUAGAUCAGGGAACUGUACAGCAAAUCAUUGAUACCUUCGAGACUGCAGCGGAGCAAGAAGACCCCGCUACCGAACCUGAUGCUGCUACAGGUCAGGAGGCUGCCGCUGAGCAGGGCACUGCUGCUGAUCACGGUGGUUCUACAGAUGAAGGUGCAGCCCCAAUGGAUAUUUGAGGAUGCAAGAACCGGGGUUCCAUCCAUGUUCGGCAGUUGAAAACAUUAUUGUGUUGGAUAUUUCCUUCUUUUAUUCUCUUACGCAAAUUGUCUUUUUACCCUUGGUGCAAACAAUCAAAUGCUAGGCCUGAAACUUUUACAUUUAUGCUCAGAGAUACUGAAACUUUUAAAUUUGCCUCAUAAUCUCUGCUAGGGAAUUGCAUGUUCAAGAAAUUUUAGAUCAAGUUUGGGUAAGUGUUUUAAUGAUUCGUGCAUAAAAUGACAAAUUUAUGAUGGCAUUUAGUACAUCGAAGGAAAAGAUGAUGUAACAUAAGGCCUUUGCAUCUGAUAAUAAACGCUUAAUAUAUAUAUGUAUUGAAGCCAUUGCAAAGGAGUUUCUACAGAAUAAUUCAGUGAUGAUUCAACACUGAUUAGGUUUGCCAUUUUCUUCAGGAAAAAAAAUUAUUAAAUAGCAGCAAUAGAAGUGAAAAUCAAUGCUUGUUUGAUCGUGGAGACAUCAAUUCCGAAUAUCAGGAAGUGGUAGGCCCUUUAUCUGCAUCUGCUUAUACAUCCAUUGCCAGUUCUCAGGUGUUACCUCACCCCCAAGUGAACGAAUCACUGCACCACCACUACAUGAGCCCACUUUGCAACAUUCCUCAAGUGAUAAUCCCUUGACCAAUCCAUAUAAGAAACCACCAGCGAAGAGGUCCCCAGCUCCUGUGGCAUCAACCACUUUUGUCUCCCCUAUAGCCGGAACUCGGACAACCUGUCAUAUUAAGAAUCUUUAGUUUUGCCGGUCUUUAGCUAUGCAUAUAUCAUCUAUAAAGGCAAAGUGCACAAUUUGGCCAUACUUUCCAAGUUGAGGAUUAGUAACCAAGUACAAAGGCAUUCCCUAAAUGGGAGGCACUGAUAAUCUCUUAACAACAAAAGACUGCAAAGUACGAAAAAACAUUGGUUAGUUUACAAGGUUGUGAGUGGCCAACCUCUGGUGCGUGUUUUGCGAUGCAUCCGUUGGCCCCUAAUGUAACCACAGCCCAUCGGCAAUAUUUGGACAGGUAUUCCAGUGCAGCUUCAGGACUAGCAUUUGCUUCACCCCUAAAGAAGUAAAAUUGAAAAAUAUAUAUCAGUUACUACCAACUGCAGUUACAGCAGCAAUUGAAAAAUAAUCACAGCCACCUUAGUAGUUCUGUUGCUUCAUCCUCGUUGGCAAAGCAGAGGUCGAUAUCUCCCGACUUCAGUAACUUUAGAAGAGGUUCUCUAAAAUUCCGAACCAUCUGAGCAAAGUCACAGACUUCAUAAGAUAAAAUGUUGAAGAGUUCCAUGAUAGAGAAGUGAUAUCAACCAAAGGUCGAAGCAUUUACUAUUAUGAUGCUUUUAAAAUGUUUUAUUGUUUGUGAAUGGAACUGUUUUUAGUUACAUUAUAAUUCACUCUGUACAUAACAUUGCAUCCAACCUUGGGCAAAAACAAAUCGAUGAUCCAAUUACCUCAAAACUGGCCAAAUCGAUGGAGACAGACAAACCCUCUAGUUUGGCAAAUCUUAUAGCUGCUUGAGUAACUUCCAAAUUGAAUAUUCCAUAUCUCAUUACUAACCACUGCAAUGAAAGAUACAUCAUUAAGUCUAAUUCUGUGCGAUAACCAGCUGCCAAGGACUAAAUGAUGAAAUGUGGUAAAAAAGUGAACAAUCUACGUUGGCCAUUUGAAAACAAUGACCAAAAGAAUAUGAUAAUCGGAUAAAAAAAACUCCUUGGUCACCUUAGAACCACUAAAGUCAUCCUUCGUCAAUUCAUCCCCCUGAAAAACAACGAGGAAGAAAAUUGAUUGUAAGUUUGUACUUGGUAUGGCACAGACAUAAAUCAGAAAGCAGAUUAUUACACUGAAAAACAAAAACACUCACCUGAACUUUUACAGCGGUCGACAGGCAAGGGCGCAUUGUUCUAUUGCCGUAUGCAUCAACUAGGCAAACACACUGCAUCAUGUCAUAUUCACUAAGAAAGUUUCAGUAUGUUCAAAGCAUAGUUAAAUUUUGAUAGGAAUUGUAUCAUGAAGUUCACCUGAGCCGUUGGUCCCGUCUUCUUUCGCAGUCUCGAAAUAUUAACUCCAGUAAAGUUCAUGUUACUUACAAACAAUUGACCUUGCUCAUCAUCCCCAUAGGCCCCGAUCAUUCCACUGUUAACACCAAAGCCAGAGCUAAGUCCACGAAUAGUAUUUGCAACACUUCCCCCAGCCAUAGUCUUCAUAGGAGAUGGAUCAUCAACUGAAGUAAGGAUAUGCUUUUUCAACUCGCUUAAUAUAUGCUCAAGCUCCUUGAAUUCCACCUACAUUAUCAAAUCCAUUGUCUAAAAUUGUCAUGCUCAUCAAACAAGAAAACAAUCUAAAACUUUGCAGUUCAAUGGUUGAAACUUGAAAGCUGUUGAUUUAGUUGGGACAAAACUUGGGAGACAAGAGCAAAUGUCAUUGGGAUUGGCGACUAUGAAACAUGAGAACAAGUAGAAGAAACGUAAGAAUCUAACCAGAAAAAAGUCUUGUCCGCAAGCCUAAAAUUACCAUAAAAGUUAUAGUUACUGACAAAGCUCCCGCAUGCAUCAACCAAUUAAGAAAGAAAAAAGAUAUAUUUGGUAAGCCUUUUCAAUUUUCAUUGUCCAGAACAUAGCAGAACGAGGGGGGAAGGGAAUGAAUAAAAGUUGGGUAAUCUUGAUGAGAAAUAAGUCAAUAACCCCGAAAUUACACCAAUGAAGACAAAUUAAAACAAAGGAGCGUGAACCCAGAAAACAGCAAGUAAUAAUAGAAAGAAAGAGGAACACAAAAUUAAGAAAAGAAUUUAAUGAAACGGGUAGUUAAAAAAAAAGUGGAACAUACCGGAAUGGAGCCACCACGUUCACCAGGAAUUUGAUGGAGCAAGGACCAAUCGACACAAGCCACAUGAUCAAUGAGGGCAGCUGGCUGUAGUCCCAGGAUAAGGGGAGCCUUGGCCUCCCCGUUAUUAACCAAGGUUUCUGCUCCCAUAGUUUUUAGCCGCUGGGUGGCCUUUGGUGACUCCCUCAAAAGGGUCUCCUUUGAAGUAGUAGUCUCAGGCUCAGGCUAAGGCUAAGGCUAAGGCUCAGGCUAAGGCUCAGGCUCAGACUCUAUAGGAUUUUGCAGUGAAUGUAGUAUUAUAUAGGCAAAGCCCCGAACAUGCGUACUCAGCACUGCGUCAGGUGGGCUCUGCCACUGCCCUUCACUCCUCAGCGCCCCUAUUGGCCUAUUCAGCCUUUUUUUUUUAUUAUUUACUAUUUUGUUUCUUCACUGAUUUUUACUAUAAAAAAAAAAUGGGCCUUUUGGCUCCAAAUGGUGUGAAAUCUUAACUGUGAUUGGGGGUUUGUGGGUUAAAUACUAAUGAUUAAUCCACUGUGGGCAAGUUUCAGUUGGUAAGUAAACAUUAAAAUGAACUUGACUUGCUCUGUAAGAUGUCGGUCCAAUAACUUGGAUUUAUAUUGGGAAAUUUUUCUCUUUUUGUUUUUGGUUUCUAAUGAGUAAAUUUGUUAGAUUUUGAUAGGUUAAAUCAGAGGCUAUAACUCCACCUUUAAAAUUAUUAAGGUGUUGACUGAUUUUGCCCUAAAGGUUGUCAAAGCAACAUUAAAGAAUGUCGUGGAAAAUCAUGCACAUGCUCACGAUCUUUCUCAAAACCAAGGAAUUUUGAUGCCCUUUCUUUUACAUGUAGUGCAUGAAUUUGUACAAAAGGAAAUAGCUUCCAUCAUGUCGCAUUUUAUCAUGUCUCUUUUUUUGUUGGAUGAAAUGCCACAUAUAACAAAAUCAGAUUUUAAAAAAAAAAUUGCUUAUUCAACAACAAUACUUCAAAUUUUUCUCUCUCAACAAUAAAAAGUAUUAUUCUACUCAGGGAUUUUGUCUCUCGCUUAGGGGUUGAGUAUAUGAAUAAUUACGGAGAUACCUGGGUAUGGUAUAAAUCAAACUACCAACCAAGGCCAUAUAUAAUACUUUAAAGCAAACCUUGUACCACUUGAGCCAACGCUCCCUCGAGUGGGAGGCAGAACUCCUAAGUGGGUCUCCACCCUUGAGUGGGAGACAAAAACCGCAAGCAGGACAAUACCUUUCAUUGUUGAGUGAUCGAAUAGACGUCCCGAAGUACAACACUUCGAAUACUACUUUCAAAGGAGUCGAUCCCCCCUUAACACAUAUUUUUGUAGGAUUAAUAUUUUAAUGAUCCAACCGUUGAAUUUAUCAAUAUAAUAAUAUUUGUCAUGUAUGUAAAUUUUUGAACCGAUUUAAUAUCUCUAUCAUAUCAAUAAUAUUAUAUAUAUUAAUAUUUAUUGAUCAAUAGAAGACAUUUUAUAUAAACAAAUAGUUAGAAAUUAUAAAUUUAGAUAUGAAAUAUAAAAUAUAAUUAUUAAAUUAUUAAAAUAUUAAUGGUACAAAGAUAAGUAAAAUAAAACUAUUUUAGUUUUAUCCCUCCCCUAUCUUUAGCAUAUAUAAGUUUUAAAUUUUUAUUAUACACAAUUACCUACUAAUCAAUUAUAAUAUUUAAUAAUAUUUAAAAAUAAGAAUUUAAAUAAUAAAAUACAUGUAACACAAAAAAGUAUAUAAUAAAAUUGAUAACUAUGAAUCAUAACUUUUUACUUAUAAAAUAUACAAAGCUGGAAAUAUAAUAUCAAGUAUUAAAAAUAAUUUUUAAGAAUGUAUCAAAUUGUGAAUUAUAAUAUUAAAAGAUGUUAUUAUCUAAUAAAAAUCAAAUAAACAUAUAAAAUAAUAUAAAAUCUAAAACCAUAAUGAAACUCAUCGAUGUUAUGGAAAUUUAAUGUUUUUUAUUGUAAAAGAAAUUUAUAGAAUUUUUAUUUAAAUAUAUUUUUAAUAUAUAAUUAAUAUUCAAAUAUACUAAAUUUAUCAACACUUAAUUUAACUAUUACUAAACAAUUUGAUUACCAAUUAAUAUUUUUUAUUAUAUUUUUAAGAAAUACUUUUGUUAAUCAUAAAUAACAAUAAUACAUAAACAUGACAUAAUGAAUAAAACGCUACAAAUUAUUGCACAAAUACGACCGUAUGUAAAAAGAGCCCAAUAGAAGAGAUCAAAGAUUAAUCGACAAUAACUGCAAUAUUAGAACCACAUCACUGAGUUCAAUUUCACGAUCACUAUCAAAAUGCUUUGUCAUGACAAAAUAAUAUUAUUUAUUUUAUAAAGCAAUGUUAUUUUAGUCAUUACCCGAUCGAGUAAGUGUUUAAUUGACUUAUUAUGCCAACUUAGUUAGAAGCUUAAUUUAUAAUUAGAUUAUGACACACCCACAAUAUUAGUGAAAAAAUUAUAUAACGAAUGUAUUUAUAAAAAAUAAACGAGACUUUGGUUGAAUUGGUAAAGUUUAGAAAAUAAAAAUCAUGAAACUUUGGAUUCAAAUAUCAUUAUAUGUAUUUUUCUAGAUUUUACGUAGGUAGCACUUUCUAUAGCAAUCGACAUCUAUAACAACUUUUCAUUAGAGCAGCUAAGUUUGUUGUAGAACUGGUCUUAUUUAUAUUUUACUUUUAACUUCUAUAAUAAUUUUUUAUCUAUAUUGGCAAAAAUCAUAAAAUAUGAAGUACACUCUUCAUAAAAUUAGCUCAAUUUUCAUUUUAAAUUUUAGUAAAAUUAAUUAUAUUCCUACAUGAAAUAGAAAUAACAAACUUUACUUCAGAUAUUUUUUUAAUAGAAUUAAAUUUUAUAUAUAAAUAUAUUAAUCAUAUUUUAUUAAAUAAACAUAAUCUUUAAUAAAUUUUAUUAUAAAUGUAGUUUAAGUAUCUCUAAUUAAUAUUAUUAAUAUAUUAUAUUUUAAAAUUUUAAAAUUUUUAAAAUUAAAAAAUAAUUAAAAUUUCAAAUGAUGUAUAAGUGUAUCGAAUGAGGUGUUAACAAUCAUCUCUAUGUAAUAUCCAAAAUUUUGAUAGAUAAAUAGAUUAUUAUAGAGAGAGUUGGUUUAUAAAAAUACAAAAAUGCGAUCAAAAUGAUAUUUAUUGCUUUGUAAAAUUAAUAAAUUUUUUAUAAUUUUACAAUUGAGUUAAGAAGUAGUUGAUGAGCGACACAAACUUAGUUAAUCACAUAAAUAAUAAUUAAAUAUUCCAAACAUAACUACAUUUACAAGAAUGUAAUAAUAAUUAAAAUAAAAUAACAUGUUAGAAAAAUAAACCUCACAAAAUUGGUAAUCUUAAUUCACCUUCUAUAACUACAAACAAAAAACUGGUAUAAAAUAUGUAUAUAAAAAAGAAUAAUAUUUGAUACAUAGUUAGUGUAUAAAUUUUAUGUAUCAUUGAAAAAUAAUAAUAUGAUUUAUCAUCAUUAAAUUAAAUAAAAAAUAUAGAAGACUCCUAAAUAAAUACUAAUAAUUUUAUUUAAACAUACGAGUUAGUAUUUGGUGCACUGGCAGUGUGUUUUUUUUUUAUUUCACAAGUAACAUUAAAAAACUGUCAUGUAUAUAUAUUUUUUAAAUAUUUAUUUUUUAAUAUUUUACUAUACAUUAUAAGACAUUUGUCAACCUCUGGCCCUGGUUGUGAAAUUUUAAAACUUCACUGGUGGUAUACCAAAUGUUAUUCCAAAAUAUAAUUAAACAUUAAACAUAACUAUUAUAAACAAAUAUUAAAAACUUUCGAAUUUAGGAUAUUAGUUUUAAGGUCUCAAGUAUAGGGUUUAGGAUUUUCAUUUUAUUUAAUGAUGAUUAAUUAACAUUCCUUAACUAUGGAAUAUAUGUAUAUUAUUAAUUACAUUCAUGAAUUAAGUAGAUUAUGUAUUAAUGAGGUUUAUUUGUUCCUUGAUUUUUUUUAAAAAAAUCUAAUUUAAUUGUGAAAGUAUCUUAAAGUUUCUAAUUGAUACAGUGCUUAGGAUCACUCAUAACUCAUCCCAACAGGAUAAAUGUGCUUUAGCAUGCUUGAACUCAUGUACUCUUACAUUGGCAACAAUACCAAUGCAAAUUUUUAAAUCAUACAUUCUACUAUACUUUAGCUUAGAUUUCUAUUAUCAUGGAGAGAAAUUUGAGUAAAAUUUCAUGAGUUUAUAUAUUUUUAAGAAAUAUGCAACCUUUUAAGGUGGUGUUGUUAAAAUAUUGAGAAACAAUUACAGUGAAACCGUGUACAUCAAGUGAUGAGCAAUUUCGUCUUAAGAACAAAAGGUCCAAUCCUUAACGACAACGUUAAGUUAUCAUUCUUCAAAUCAAUUAUUAACAAAUAAACUUAUUGUUUUAAAUUUUAACAAAGUUUACAAAUUUAUAAAAACAUAUAAAAUUUUCAAUAUACGAGAAAAGUUUGUAUGAAACUGAGAUAUCAUAUCAUUUAUAUCCAUUUCUAAUAAUUUAAUAUCAUUUUAGUAUUUUUAUUCUAAUUUUUUUUUGUGAUAAAAAAGGAGAUACAAGAUAAAAGCUUAGACCCUCAAAGGAGAAUCUUCAAACAAUCUUAAUCCUAUUCUUCUAGUACGAACAGACUUAGCCAGACAAUCAACAAUUAAGUUAUCUUCUCUAGGAAUAUACUGAAUUCUCCACUACUUCAUCUUCCUCAAGAUAAUGUGAAUUUUCCGAACCAAGGCAGAGUUGGGACUCUCCGAAGUAUUAUCCAAAAUUGCAUUAAUAGCUUCAGUGCUAUCAGUUUGAAUUAGGAUUUUCUCGAAAAAUCUAUCCAGAAUAAGAUUCAGCCCAUCUAGAAUUCCCCAGAGCUCUGCAUCUAAAACAGUGUAAUUACCCAAAUAUUUAGCGAACUCGAUGAUCCACUUACCAUUAUGAUCUCUCACACAACCACCAUCAGCGGCGAACCCUUCAACAAAUCUAACCGAAUCAUCUGUGUUCAAACUCACCCAACUGUUAGGUAAGGGCCAAUUAUGGAGAUGACCUCGAGCUUUAUGAGAUGAGAACUGUGAAGUGGAUGAAUACUGCUUCGCCCAGCUAUAAGAGAUUUUAAUAAUUUCAUCAACACUCCAAGUAAUACCUUGGAAGAUGAACAGGUUCCGGUUCUUCCAAAUGCGCCACACGAUGAUUCCAAAGAGACAAGGCUAAUCAAUUCCAUCUAAAGGAGUGGGAUGGCUCUGAAGAUUACUCCUCAUCCAAUCGAAAAAAGAUCCAGAAUAGAAACUUGAAAGGUUUUGUUGCGGAAUAAGCUUGUCCCAAAUGCGUCUGGCAGUAUUACAAUCUCUGAAUAUGUGCACAGCAUCUUCACAGUCAUGACCACAAAGGUUACAGGCACUACUGCUCCCAAAACCACGCCUUACCCUCUCUGAGUUUGUUAAGAGGCGAUGUUUUAGGGCCAACCAAAUGAAAAAGUGAAUUCUCUGUGGGCCAUGAAACUUCCAUGGUAUUUCUCAUAUUCGAUCUUUUACAUUGAAAGUGUAUUCACGAACCUUCUCGUAAGUACUUUUGAUGGAGAAGUAGCCAGUCGAGGUAGUGCCCCAAAUAAUUUGGUCAGGACCUGACGAAGGAUGGGGUGGUGGAACGCUUAUUAUUUUGUUGAUAAUCUCCUCCGGAAUCUAAGGGUUGAAAAAAUCUAGAUUCCAAGAGCCAUCAUCUGCAACCAUACUAUUAAGGGAACAAUCUAAAGAAAUGUUAGCAGAAUAAGGAAAAAAUUUAAAAAGGGGGGCCACAAUUAGGAACCCAAGGAUCCUGCCAACACUUGAUGCUGCUUCCGUCUCCGAUUGACCAGAUAAGGUUUUCACGAAUGAGGGGCCAUACCUUAGAGAUAGAUCUCCAUAAGAAGGAACAUCUACUCCUUGAUAAAUCAUCAGGUAAACCAAUAAGGACUCUAUAUUUAGAACGAAGCACCUGAAUCCAGAGGGCUUUAGUGUUAGAAAUGAUGUUAAAACCAACCUUCAUCAUGAAUGAGGUAUUAUGAUCUUUCAACUGUCUAAGACCAAGACCUCCAUGUGACUUGGGUUGGCACACCGAAUCCCAACUAAACAAGGUCGUCUUUAACUACCAUUGUGCGUUCCCCAAACAAAUUUCUGAACGAUGCGCUCGAUUACCUCACAGAUACCUCUAAGAACCAUCAUUGUCUACAUGAAGUAACUAGGAAUCGAGAGAAGAACAGAUUGAGCCAAAGUAACCCUUCCAGCUAAAGAAAGCUGACUUGCAUCCCAACUGGAUAGUUUAUUACGAACCCUUUCCACCACGAAAUUCAGAGUACUAUUGGUGACUUUGUCGUGUAGAAGUGGAACUCUAAGGUAAUGCCCUAAAUUAGAACUUUUUUGAAAACCAAAGAAAUGAAUAGUAUGUUCCCCUAAGUUAUCGUCCACUCCUUUAGAGAAAAAAAUAUUAGUCUUACGUGAAUUAAUCCGAUGACCCGAGUAAUCGCAGAAUUCAUCUAAAAUACUUUUGAUGACUCGAGCUUGGUUAUCAUCCGCACGGCCAAAGAGUAUCAAGUCAUCAGCAAAAAAAAUGUGGGAUAACGGUGGGCCACCACGGGACAGCCUAAUAGAAGACCAAUUACCAACAUCAAUAGCCUUGCGAAUACUAAGACCUAACCACUCCAUGCAAAGAAUGAACAAGUAAGGAGAUAAAUGACAUCAUUGACGAACGCCUCUAGCUGGACGAAAUUUCUGGGUAGGGACACCAUUCCACAGGACCUGCAUAGUAGAGCUAGAGAUUGCAGACAUAAUAACAUUCUAUAAAAAAAUAGGGAUACCUGCAGCAUGAAGCGAUGCCUCAAUGAAGUUCCAUCGUACUCGAAUAAAGGCCUUCUCCAGGUCAAUUUUGAUGGCCAUCCACUUCUUGUUCUUCUGCACACCCCUCAUCGAAUGAAUAACCUCUUGAGUAAUGAUGAUGUUGUCAGUGAUAUUACAUCCUGCGACAAAACCAACUUGCUCAAGAGCAAGGAGCUUAGGGAAGACCACUUUUAAUCUAUUAGCAAUAAUCUUCAUGACCAGCUUGUAAAGGACAGAACAUAAGCUAAUUGGCCGGAACUGAGAGAACUCCACGGGGUUUUGAGUUUUGGGAAUUAGCACAAUAAGAGAAUUAUUAAAAGUCAAAUCAAUACUUUUACCAUUGAAGACUUCUUUGACCCAAGUGCAGACUGAAGUGCCAACAUGAUCCCACUGACUCUGAUAGAAUAGGGCAUGGAAACCAUCACUCCCUAGAGCCUUCAAAUCUGCCAUAUCAAAAAGAGCUGAUUUAAUUUCCUCAUCCGAUACUUGUCUGUUAAGAAAAUUAAAAUCUUCGUCUUUGAGGCAUGGGAAAGCAACAGAUGGAGAGUUUCGUAUAGGCCAAAAAUGUUCGCCAUAUAGAUUAGAGUAGAAAUUGACUGCUUCAAGCCUCAGACGAUCAUCGUCCAUUAUCCACUCACCCAAGCCAUUUUUCAAAACAGUAAUUCUAUUUUGUUUACGUCUCCUCAGCAUUCGCGAGUGAAAGAAUUUUGUGUUACGAUCUCCUAAGACCAACCGAUCACAUCGCGCUUUUUACCUCCAAAAGAUUUCUUCAUGAUGAAGCACAUUCUUCAAUUCUUCUUUCAUAUCCAUCUCAACUUGCUUAGGAAAUUUCGAGUUAGUUCUAUCUCGUUCCAUCUUAAUACGCUCCAGUUUAUGAGUCAAAAGCUUCUUACGAGUGAAAAUAUGACCAUAAACCUCUUUAUUCCAAAUCUUAACCUGGUCAGUGAACUUAGAAUGCAGGGAUGACAUGUUCAUAGACAUCCUCCAAUUCUCCUUAACAAAAUUCGAAAAGGAUAGAUGCUCAGUCCAACCGGUUAAAAACUGAAUGGACGUCCUUUCAAUGAAGGAACCUCAGGUAAAAGAGACAGUUUGAGAAGUCUGUGAUCAGAUUUAAGUCGAUGUAAGUGAGUCACCAUUAAGUUUGGAAAAAUCGCGUUCCAAGCAAUAUUGCAAAUGGCUCUGUCCAAGCGCUCAACAAUCCCCUCUUUUUGCCAAGUGAAUAGAGACCCUUAAAAACCUAAAUCAUGAAGUUGGCCGAAAUCCAUUAAAUUACCAAAGAAAUGACAUCUUUUACCUAAAACAUGUCCUCUUUUUUCUCACUAGAUGAAAGGAUGGCAUUAAAGUUACCAAUCGCCACCCACGAGGACCUAUCCACCUAAAUGAAGCUCUGCAAAGCCUCCCACAAGUGCCUCCUCUUCUGUCUAUUAGGACUGCCAUACACGAAGGAGACCAAGAAAGGCUACCGAAGGGAGCUAUUAGAAACUUUGGCUAAAACAAAUUGGGGGUGACUCUGGAGCACUUCCACGUUAACCGAAUACUUCCACCCAAUCCAAAUACCUCUUGAAAAGCCGACCGCUUCCACAUGAUGAGAAUUAUUAAAACCGAGUUUGGCAAUAACUAAAUCCGCUUUCUCUCCACUGACCCUAGUUUCAAGGAGACUGAUCAAAUCUGGUCUAUGCUUUCGAUUAUAUUCCCAUAAGACUCUAACAAAUUUAGAACUCACACAACCCUUACAAUUUCAAGAAAAUAUAGUAAAAUUCAUAAAAUUAAGAAUGAGAGAAAGAACUAACCUCGUAAGAGCUAUCAGUAACUCAAACAUUGUCAACUAUAACUUUAGAGUUAUUCGAAGAAAUUCCAGCUUGUACACUAAUGAGCUCUGCCAUAGAACCCAUAGCUUCCGGAAGAGAGACUCGUGAACUACUAGCCGGUUUAAAUUUCCCUCAACGUCCACGAAUAGAUUUAAAUAAAGAUUUCCCACUAUGACCAUUUCUUUUCCCAUUUUCAACAGCAUGUCCUUUAGAAAUAUUAGGAGAGUUAACACGCACUUUUGGUUUAGAUUUAAUAUCUAAUUUCUCUUGAAAAGUAACAGCUGUAUGUUUUUUAAGAUCAAGUGCAUUCGAAAUGGGACUAAAUUGAGCCUCUUUGAAGGUGGGAUUAACGUGAAAAGAGGUGGCCAAAUCUUUGGGAGGAGAAAUAGAUGUUGUUGGGUCUUUAUUCAUAAAGCCUGCUGCACCCUCCAAGCCCAAACUGCUUAUAAUUGAAGUCUGGCCCAAAGCCUGAUGUGAUCUAAAGCAGUCCAACAGAGACCCAGCUUCUUUAUGCGGAAGGCCUAGAGUAGGAUUAAGCCCAAGACCGCCAGUCACAAAAACUUGACCACUAAGCAUAGGGCCCAACGCCGAACUAGGUCCAGCUCUGUUAGGCGUCUGAUCAGUAGCACGUGUAGAAACACGGGCUUCCACUUCCAGCGUCUGUUUCGCGUCAAUUUUUUUCAGGGGUCUGGAUUUUAGACAAGGCCCAACAUCUUCAAUAGGGUCCAACAGACUUUCUCCUCUAUUUUCUUCAGCCAUCGGUCCAGACUCUAGCCCCAUGUAUUUGCCUUUCAAUUUUCUAAUAAAGUCCCCUUGUGAAAACCUAGCCAUUCUAAUAUCCUUAGUGGACGCCUCUAAAUCCGGCAUUAAGGGCUCAGAAUCGAUGGAAGAUAAUGCAUCAAAUCUGGAAUUUCCUAAGAUUCCAUUCAUAACUUUUGAUUUUUGCCCACGAAAUACAUCAUGUUUUCCCCUUGACUUACGCUCAACCACCAUCCAGGGCCCGAAGGCAUCACCCAUCAUCGGUGGCGUAUCCUCCGUUCGCACCGAAGCAGUUUCACUUCGCAAAGAGCCCGUGGGGUCUCCCUCUCCGUCAUGACCGUUUCCACCUGCCAAAUAAGAAGGACAAGAGUUUUUAGAGUGCCCAUAUUUACCACACGAGAAACAUACCUCGGGUAAGGCCUCAAAUUCCACACGUUGCAGUCGUGUAUUGAUAAGAUCUUGUGAAGUAAGGGGUUUCUCUAAAUCUACAAAAACAGCCAUUCUGGCAAAUUUCCCUCUUUUUCUGUUAUCAAUUUUGAUGUCAAGUUUAACAACUUUUCCGACCAAGCUACCGAUCUCCUCUAAUAUUCUUUUUGAUAUAGGAAUCCCGAUAAACCUGGAAAGCGGAUCCAAGCCAACACACCGCAGGGAAAAGGUCUUGAUGAGUCAAAAUUCACCGUCCAUGGUUGAACUAUGAGAUAAUGCCCAAACACUAUCCAAAGGCCUUGCGUCAGCACCGCGUCAAAAUCCAUCCUACACUAGAAUUGGACAAAGCAAUAGUCGUUUGCGACAUCCAUAAGGUGAAAGGGCUGCGCAGGCUUCCAAAGGCUGGUGAUGGGAUUUAAUAGAGCCCCAUAACCUAUGUUGCGCCCAAGCAACUUGACCACCACAGUGAGUUCUAUCCUUUUGAUGAGAAUUUUAUUGAUGCGAUAUAAGAAAUCAAUGGCGGGUAUACCAUUGAGAUUAGAUCUAUGAAUAUCACCCUCAACGAAUUCUAAGUCAAUAUUAGCGUCGCUGCCUAAAGAGUUCGAAACCUAACCACCCAAAAGUUUGUCUUUCCAAGAAACUCCACCUUCUGAGGACGAGUCAACCGCCAUGCUUGCCAAGAAAUCAUGACUUCCAUAUUUAAAUCAGACCUUUUUAGUAGCAGAGUCUUCUUCCGCUCUAGUCCGGUCAUCGAGCAAGGAUUCAUCGUCGUUCAUUGUCGUUGUUUGUAUAGAUAUUUUACCCAAUUCUCAAGUGGUUACUUUCAAAGUAGAUGAAGUUUUCUUUGAUCUUUCUUGCUUUUUUUAUCCUAAAUUUCAAAUCUCAUAUAUAUAUAUACCUCCCUAUAGUGGUAGGGUUGGAAAUUAAUAAGAUGAUAAAUCCACCACCCGUGGUUAAGGCACUAUCCUUCCUAAUAAUCAUCCAUAAUUAUGAUAACAUAAUAUAAAAAGCAUUUAUAAUUGAUGUUAAGUGUCAGUAUCCAAAUUUAAAAAUGUUGAUAUUAUAAAGUAAAUAAAUAAAAAGGUUGGGAUAAACAAAAAUAAUGGAAAAAGGAGAUGGCUGAAAUUACGGGGAGAAGGAACAUCCCAAAUCAAGGGCUUCAUUAUUGCAAUCAAGAUCCGACCAUUAACAAUAUUUUAUCAACACUAUGACUAGCUAACGUGGCUAGAGUUAGGGGGGUCAAGAUUUUCGCACGUGGGUUAGGUCCAACAUGCAUACUUGUCUUUGCAUUUCUUUUCUUUUCCGCCAAAGUAUCUCCGCUUUUACUUUUGGUAUUCAUAUAAAAUUACUUAACAAAUAAAAGAAUCAAUUUAUUCAAAUUUAUAUUGUGUUUACAAUUUAUUGAUUAAUGAUAUAAUUUACCUAAAAAUAAUAAGAACUUAAUUGAUAAAAAGUAUAAAUGGUUAAAUUUAUCUUAUGCCAUUAUUAUUUUGUAAUAAAUUGAGAUCACUUCCCUCAAAUUUCAGCCACUCUAAAAGUGAUCUAUUGAAGUCUUUAUCUCUAAAGCCCAAACAAGUCAUUUACUUUGGAAAUAGCCUAUAAGGAGAAAGUCCAUUGUAAAAGUAGAUGAUUAAGUGUAGAUUUAGAUGGACAGUAUAUUUAUUUGAUGUUAGUAUAAAAAUAAUAGUGGUAGUGGAGAGAUUAGAUAUUGUAACGAUACUUUAACGUGAGACAAAAAGUAAACUAAAUACACCACAGCAUAACCCAUCUAAACUCACGCUAAAAAUAAACUUAAACAAAUACGAAUUUAAAAUCAUUAAAAUACAAAACCAUAUUGAAUCCAAGGAACCAAAAUAAACAUAGCAAAGAGCACUUGGUUUGUUAACAAGCUACUACCGCAUUUCGUGUUGGAUUAAUUGAUUUUUAAUUAAAAUAUAAAAUAAAUUUUAAAAGUUAAAAUAUAUUUAAUUUUUUUUUGUAUUUUUCAUGAAUUAGAAUUCAGAAUUUCAUAUUUUUAUUUUUAAAAUUUUAGUCUCUUCAUUUUUUGAAUUUAAAAAUUCAACUCCAAUUAUUAGCAUUAUAAAAUUUUUCUGUUUAAUUUCGUUGAAGUGAUAUUUUAAUUUUUUUAACAAAAUAUUCACUUGGUAAUUAUAUAAAAAAAAACACAUUGUAAUAAAUGUGAAUUUCAUAGAUAAUUUUAAUAGUGUUUAACAACUCUUAAAAAUUACAUCACCAUUUUAAUUAAAAUAAAGUAUUUGGUCUAAUCAAUGACAUUGUAAAAGUUGAGAUACUAAAUUAUGUCAAGAAGUUGCAGGGGCGAAACCAGGGGGGGCAGGCAUGGGCCCCGGCCCCCCCUAAAAUGAGAAAUUUUCAUUUAGGCCCUUUAGAUUUUUUUUAAAUUUUAAAUUAGUAAAGGUAAAAUUCCACUUUGGCCCCCCUAAAAUUAUAAAAAUUUAAUUUAAUCCUUUAAAAAUUAUAAAUAUAUAGACUAUAAAAAAUUAAAAUUUCCUUCGGCCCCCCAAAAUUUUUUUUUGGCUUCGCCCCUGAGAAGUUGAUGUAUAACGAUUAAAUCUUAAAUUUGAGCGUAGUAUAGGGACCAAAAUUGAAACUUGACCAUUGUUGUAUAAUCUUUAGAAAAAAAGUGUCAUACCAAUUUGCCACCAUGUUGUUUAUAAAUAGUUCAAAAAAAAAAAAUCACCUUUAACCUUUCAACUACAAGUAACUUUUUUUAUUCUUAGAUAAGUCAACAUACAAAUGAUAUAAUAGUAAAAUAAUAAGACGAUUAUCACAUAUAAUUAUUUAAAUUAAAAUAUAAAUUAAAUCUUAAAAAAAUAUAAAGAUUAAAUAUCAAAUGUGAGCAUAAUAGAGAAAUUGAAACUAUAAUUUUAUCAUUAGUUAGUCCAAAUAAUUAGCUGUAUUAAUAAAUUUAAUAGUUGAUGUGAAUUUUUUCCAAAUAAUUAGCUGUAUUAAUAAAUUUGAUAGUUGAUGUGAAUUUUUUAAAAAGACUUCCUCUAACUCAUAAUGUGAAUAUAAAUUUUUUAUUAGAAUAGAAUUUCAUUGAAAAACAUUCACACAAACAUUUUACAAGAAUAAUCAACAAUAUUAAUUUUAUCACGGAAAAUUUGUUUUAGAAAACGAUUUUUCAAAAAUGUAUUAAUUUUAUAGAAAAAUUAAUAUUUUUUUGGUGUUUGAAUAAUUUAAUGUAAAAUAUUUUUUUAUUAUUUGAUAGAUUUUCUUGAAAUUAUUUUGAAUGAAACAAGCUGAGUAUAAAAGAUUUUAUAAUUAAAACGUAAUUGUUUUCAUUAAUCAUUCCAUAGUCGAUCAAACAUGAUGAAACCAAGGUCCUUGUGAACAUGUAAGCUGGGCAACUCAUCUGCUACUUUAUUCGCCUCAUGGUUAAGAGAGACCAUUCAUUGCUUUUGCAAAGUUCCUCGAUAUCUCAACUAGCCGCGGACAAUUUCCAUCAACACAAUCCUGAUCCAACAAUGAACUGCAACCACAUUAUCACAUUUAACCUGGACAUUUCAAUAUCCCAUAUCCCAUGGCGAGCAAAAUCUCCCAUUCGAUAUCAUCAACCACUAGAUUCAGGCCAUUCCUUGUAUUCAGAUAAAUCCAAUCAAACAAGCGAUGUGAUCCUUCUUUGGGAUAAGAAUUUUCCAAAUCGACUUCACACAGGUGGCAUGUGGCAGCAGCAGUUAAAGCCCUUCAUCAGCAACCGUCUUCGAACCACCAACCAUAAACACUGUUUGAGUCGCUAUGGACUUUUAAGACUCCAUAGCAUGCAUUCCACACCAAAAAUUGUCCACUACUGGACCGACUCCAAAUGCAGAUGUCAUAAAAACGGAAAUGCAUUCCCCUUUGCUAGAUUUUGAUUAAUAUGGUUUGUUUGUUUGUAAAAGAAAGUUUUAAGAAAUGUGAAGUGUAACAAAUGCUAAAUACAGAUUCAUCCCCCAAUGUACAACUUUGUACAGAUUCCACACACUCAUUACGUAACCAGACUCUAGAGCAAUGCUCUUACAGCUUUGUAUAACAUAAACAUAUACGGAUUAGGCUUAAAAUAUGCCCAAAAAGAUACAGCAUUUAUUUAGUAGGUAAAGAUUAAACACUGAUCCCAGAAUCUGGGUUAAGCUUGGAAGCAGCAAGGUUGGCAACGUGGAACUGUGGUUUGUAACUGUUGGUAGGCCGGUCAAGUACAGGCGGUUCAUUCAAGAAUGCCCAAUUGCUCCUUGUCCACCUGCAAUCAUUUACAUUAAUUUUACGUUAUUAAAAGAAAAAGUCAACUUUAAGCCUUUUUUUUUCUAUUAAGUAAACUAGUCAACUAAGAUUUAGCAACUUACCAGCCAUUUUUCUUUAUGAUAUUCUCCAGGCUUGUUUCUGCAUCCUCCUGGCUGGAGUUUGAUCUCAGAUUCUUACUUCCAUGCUCCUCCAAUGGUGUUUCCUGCCAUAUAUAGAUGUAAAAGAAUCAUAUCCUCGUAUCUAUAUCCGAAAAUUUAUCAAAUGAGUGAAAAAUGGGAGUGUUUUAAAGAUUUAUAUACCAGGUAAGAGUGAGUGCAGGUAUAUGAUGGACUAAAAGUAGCUUUAAGAUGUUCUUCCUCCGUUUGCUUCUUUGAUUUCCAAUAAGCUUCGAUCUCUUCCUUGGUCAACGAUCGAUUUCGUUGGCGUAUUACUGAAAAACAUAUUCAAAUAAAUUGAAGGCAAAAACAGCAUGGAAUCACUAAAGAAUUCACUGAAAUUACCUGAUGUAGGAUCCGAUUCUGAUACAGGAGAAUCCCAUCCCGCCAUUAAAGAACCCAUUUUAACGAUUUGCUUUUACUUUCUUGAAAAACCAGAAUAAAGUAGUAAUUUGUGACUAUGUCUCAGCAGAUGUUGAGAAAGCCUUUUUAUAUAUAGGCUUGAUCUUAUUCUCGUCCUUAUCCUCGAGAUCAAAGUAUAUUAUUUCCAUUGAAAACGGAGCUAAUUCACUUAGGUAUUGACAAAAAUGAUAGCGACAAGCUCCACUAUCUAUUUAGCAGCCAACAGAAUUUUCGUCAAAGCUAUGGGAAAACCAGAGGGUUUUAUGAAAAUUGUGGGCUGAUGCAGGGGUUGUGAAGUAUUUGGCAUUCUUAUCUUCCAUUUGAUAAUCCAAAACUAUUGAUGACACUGACUGCGCAUUAAUUUACGUUACUAGUUUUUAUGAUGAAAAUCCAUUUGAGGAUAAGGAUAAAAUAUGGGUGUCAAGUCAGCGAUUCUAAUUUAUCCCGCUCCGAGAUUAAUUUUGUUCUUGCCAUUUCUCCCAUCUAGAUUUGGCUUUGCUAAUGUAGUUUCAGUCCAAGAAUUUUGAGAUUGUAAGUCUCUUUUUUACCUUAAUUAUUGGAUUCUCGUUUUGAGUAUAGGGUAGUUUUAAAAUUUAUAAUCAGUAUCUACUCUUAAUAAGUCUAUAGAAUGCGAAAGAUUAAUUAUGAACUCGUUCCGAUAAUUACUUUAAUAAAUACAGAAAAAAAAAUUAAAAUUUUUGAAUUUUUAACAAGUUAAAAGUUUAAAGAAAAAAUUAUAUUAAAAUGAUUUUAUUUUUUUAGAGAGCUAACAAAUAAAUUAUGUUGUUUACUGGAUGGACUACUUAUUCUUCAAAAACAAAGAUACAAUGAAGUCACUAUUUGAUUAGAUAAUCUUGAAAAUGUGAUUUCCAUUAGUGAAAGUAAGUCUCGUAGUUCAAAAAGUUCAUUGAUAAGGAGGAUUCAACAAAUUCUGUCUUUUGAAAUGUGUUGGUACUUGACUUAUGUUCCCAAAGAGACCAAUCGAGUAGCUGAUGCAUUAGCUAAACUAGCUUUGUUGAGCGAGAAGAUAGGUCUAUUGAUAAUUCCAUUAUGAAUUAUUAUAUGUAAUUUUUUGUUUUAGUAUACCAAAAAAAAAAGAUUAAGUUGAAUUAUUAAUUAAAAGAGUGGCUAAAAAUGGAAUUACAUUAUUUAACUGGUCCAUGAUGAAUUUUUUUAAAGGAAAGACAAAUUGAGUUUUUUUUUUUAGUAAAUCUUUGGUUUAAAUUAGAGGUGUGCAUGGGCCGGCCGAGUCGAGUUCAACAAAAAAUUUAGGCCCAUUUGCUAGGCUCAAGCCUAGUCUGGCCCAAAAAAUGGCCUAAAAUUUUGUCAAAGCUCGACCUGGAUAAAAAUGUUAAAACCCGGGCCUGACCAUAUUAAUUUUUAUAUGAUUUUAAAAUAUAUAUAAUACAUAAAAAAUACUAAAAACAUCAAAAUAAAUAUUUUUCAAUAAAUUGAAAAUAAAUUUUAAAAAUAUAUAUAUAAUAAAAUAACACUAAGAUAGAUGCAACUUAGCAAGCAAAUACCUUUAAAAUAAUAAAAAAUUAACAAAUGUCUUUAAAAUAAUAACAAAAUUAAUAAUAAAAUAAGUUUUAUACAAUAUCCAAACAAUAACAAUAAAAUAGUAGUAAUAUAAUAGUAAAAUGGUAGCAAAAUAAGGGCCCGGUCAAAAAUGCCUUACUUGAGGCCUGGUCUGUUUUUUAAAUGGGCUUUUUUUUUGUUCGAGCCUAUUUUUCGGACCUAUAUUUUUGCCCAAACCCUCUCACAUUUCAGGCCAGCCUUCAGGUCGGGCCGAGUGGCUCGAUCCAUAAACAAGUCUAGUUUAAAUAUGCCAAAGGUCCCUAUACUAUUUUGAAAAUUAAAAUUUAGUCUCUAUAUUUUAAUUUUAAGACAUGGAGUUCCUGUAUUUUUUUUAUUUAAAAAUUUAGGUCCCUCUAUCUAAGUUUGUCAUUAAAGUUAACGAUGUCAAAGGUAAAAUAAUUUUUUUACCCCUUAAUAUUUACAUUUUUUUAUUAAUUUGGCCAUUACCCUUUAAAAAUACAUGCAAAAUUAUCACAUUUUAAAUAGAAACUUAGAAAUUUUAAAAAAUUAUAAUUUUUAAAAAAUUAAACUGACAAUUGAACCGAUAUCAAAAUAGUCUAACUAAUUAAUUAGAUUGUUUUGGGAACAAAUUGGUUAGACCAUUUGAAAUCUAUUAAACUAUCAAUAUAAUUUUAAAAAAAUUAUAAGUUUUUAAAAUUUCUAAGUUUUUAUUUAAAAUAGGAAAAAAAACUCUACAUGUUGAGAGCUAAAAAAAGUUAUUUUUACAACUUUAAUAAAAAAAUUAAAAUAAAAACCAAAAUUUUUAAAUAAAAAAUACAAGGACUUAAUAUCUCAAAAUUAAAGUACAGGGACUAAAAUUUUAAAUUAAACAAGUAGAAAAACCUUCUAAAUAUAUAUAUAUUUGGUUUAGAGGCUUAAAUGUUACUCUUUUUAACUUUAUAAUUCUUUUUUACAUAUUAAAAAUUUCUUAAUUUUAAGAGACUUUAUAACAUGUAUUUGGUUUAAUUCCGUAGAAUUUAAUAUACGUAUUAUGUAAAUUAGCGGGAAAAAUGAGAGAUAAGGAUUGGCAGAUUUUUCUUUUAGCUUAAGUGCUAAAUGAAGUUGUAUUAGAGACGUCUUCAAGCUCCAUAGUUUUAACAGGGAAGAGUUUUUCUUGUAUGUUGAAAUAAUUACAAAUAUUUUACAUAAACAAAUUGUCUGAAUACUAAUGUUGUUGAUGAUCACGAAUGUCCCGUGGAAUUGUUAGAAAUGGCAGUAGAAACUUUCUUAACAUGUUUGAGGGUGGAUCUGAUCCAACUCUUGCCGCCAAUCAUGUUCUUAGUCAAGAAAACCUUCGCCUCUUCGGCCGUCAGCUUUUGCGACCAUUCAACUCUUUUACUUGUAUUAGCUCCUGGUCCGUAACAUUUAUACUCUCUAUAAAACACCGAGCUACGAUUAUAAAAGAAAUCAAAACAAAAUGGUUGAGCAUCCGUUCAAAACUGCACCCUUUAAUGAAAUAUUAUUUAUUUUGGAAGUGAAAACUAUUUUCACAAUUUUGUGGAUGCCUCGAUAAAGAAAAUGUGGUUUAUUGAAUUCAUAGUUUAAUUACUUACCGAUGUAGGAAGUGAAUUGAAGAUUUAUAAUAAUAAAAAAAGGAUUACUUUUUUUUAAAACAUUAAAGCAUAAAAUUGUGAGGACGGUUUUCAUCUCUAAACAAAUAAUAUCUCAUAACAGAUAUAAUCUGAAAAUUCUUAGAUCAAUAAACAUAGUGUUAAUCUUGAUUGAUUUUGUCAAUUUUUCGUUUACCUUUGCUUGGUUGUGUCUCCCCAAUUGUCCCAUCCUCGUGGCAGAAUGACAUUAGACAUAUAGGUCAAGGCAAAAAUGACCCUGGAAUAAGAACCCCAUGGCCUUCCUAAUAUAGCAGUCCUCUCCCCAGUUAUCUUGCAACCCAAAAAUGUAAAUCCUGUCUCCUCCGUCGGUAACCCCCUUUGUUGUGCUGUAAUGGCUGAAAAUUCUUCUGACAAUGUAUGCAAAUGGCACCUCUGAAACAAAUCCAAAAAGAAAAUUGGAAUCCCAAGAAAAGUAUAGUUUAAUCUUCAAAAUACUUCAAAUAAAUAAAAAAAAGUUAAAAAUAUUAAACACAUUAUUCAACACUUCUAUUUAAUUUUGAGUAACAUAAGUAAUGCAUUCUUGAAUAAGUUACCUCAAAAAGGGAAGCGGCAUUCCCACAAAUGAAGUCAACAGCUCCUUCAAUGUAACAGUUGCGAUAAUAGUGUCUACCGUUUUCAUCUAGCAAUGUAUCUUGGUAACCUAAAAGUUUGCAUCCUAAGAAAACUACCCUAUCUCCAGAUACCCUUAAUGCCACUGCUUGAAUUCCAUGACGUUGGAACGUAUUCUAUUUACAAAAAUAAUAAAAAUAAUCGAUUAACUCAAGCCAAAAAAUUUUAAUAUAUGAAGGGAAUAGGUGAGUAAGAAAGUAUAGAAUCAAUGUGAUGUUUUAUAUACCUCAAUCGUUAUAUAUCGACCAACAAAAUCCGAGGCCAACACAGUAAAAGUAGCAGAUUCAAUUAUAUUUCCACUAUCAUUCCUCGUUAUUACCGUGCUAUUUGUCUUGGAACCGCUUACCGUAAUGAAAGGCUUGUCUCCAGGCACAAUGAUCUUUUCAUUGUAGAUUCCAGGCUUAACCAAUAUGAAAAACAGUUGUUUGUUGUUUGAUGGCACGGCAUCAAUAGCGUCUUGUAUCUUUUUAUAGUCUCCUUUCCCUGAUUGGUCAACUCUUAUAACUACAGCCGCAGCUGAAGUUUCAGCAGCAUCUGCUCGAGGGGUGGUACUCGCCAUUAACGUGAACAUAAUUACAAAAAAGAUGAAAGCAGCCAUUGUUACAAAACUGAAGAUUGUAAUGAGCAGAUUAUGAUGGAUAUUGUUGUUUUAUAUAUUAUGUGGGGGCCGAUUUCUUGCCAUGGAAGUAUCACACAUAAACACAUCAAUUUUCAAGCAAUUGUGUGUAGAUUAACUCAACAUUAUGUCAGAAAAAAGAAAAGGGUGCGGUUUUCCCAAAUUCAAGCAGCCGGUAACUGGAAAAUUUGGCUUUUUCCACCACUGAAUGAUUAUAAAAGUGGAUUUAGUUGAAAAUGAAGAUAAAUUAAUUAUUUCUCUAUGGUUAAUUAAUUGUUGGACUACUGUAUCGUAUUCAUUAAACUAACAUCUGAUUUAAUUUAAUUUAGCCCCAGUUGAAAGGAAUUUAUUAGGUGCGGCUACUUGAGAUUAAUGUUAAAAAUGUUAAUUGGAAAAAUGCAAAUUUUUUUUUGCAAUAUCUUAAUUUUUUUUAAAGAGAAAUUCAUUAAUUUAUUUAAUGAAUAAGACUAUAUAAUUUGGGGAAAAAAAUAAUAAACUUCAUCAACACAACAAAAACUUCAACUUCAGCAUAAAUCUACAAAAAAUUCAAGCAUCUGUCAAACUAAAGAGCAUGGCGACAAAACCAACCUAAAAUCACUCGCAAAAACAAGACUACAUGAUAAACAAUACUAAAAAGCGUACUAUAAGAAUAGACAAAAACUUCUAAAAGUGAAGAGUUAUUAAACAAUGAAUAAAUAAAUAAAAGAACAUAUAAAACUUAAGAUAACAUAAGUCCAAAUCGACUCAUUAAAUCAUUUCUUAUUUAAAAUACUUUCAAACUAGAAACAUAUUAAGAAGUCAACGAGGCACCAUUAUCUGUCCAUCACGACUUGUGAAGACAAUAAAGAUAUUCACAAAAUAGAUCUACAAACUGCAAAAAAGAAAAGACACAUAAAGUGAAUGAGAAAGAAAAAAAGAAAUGAUGGGUAAGAGAAAAAGGCGGGCGAUAACUAACCUAGAAACUAAGACCGCUGCUAGAUAAAAACAAAAAGAUUAGAAACAAACAACUUAAAAUCUAACUACCCUUAGGAUCUACCCUUUUCACUUGCUUGGGCUUUGUUUAUAUUUUGGUACUUUUGGGUCAGCCCAUUGUUUAAGCUCAAAUCUAGUCAAAAUGUGCUGAAAAGGUAACCAUUAAUUAAGGUUCAAAUCUUGAUCAGCCCAAUAUCAUUCAACUUAUGUUCGAUUAGACUUCUUGGUGUAUCUAAUUGUUCAUUCAAGCUUGUUAUAGAAAUCAAUCUAACCUUGAAUAUAGCAAUUUAUCUAUAUUGGUACCAGCGUUUUUACUAAUAUGAAAUUUUGAGAAAAAAAAAAUCUUCUCCUAUACUUGAAAGAAACAUUGGGUAACUAGGGAUUGAAAAUUGGUUGAGCUCUAGUUGGACUCUUGGACAUAUGUCACUUGAAUUCAUUUGCAAGAAAAUCCAAAUUUUAGUUCAAAUCAAAUAUUUUGUGAAGAGAAAAAAAAUUGUUAGUCAAGAUUUGAUGUUGAACUCAACAAUUAAGACAUAAUAUCAUUAUCGAAAAGUGAAAAACGCAAAUUCAUUCUCAAAUCGAAGAAUAAGUCUUUUUCUUUUUUCACUAAAUGGGAGCCUAAUAUGUCAUAACCCCCCAAAUCAUGUCAAGGUCGAGGCUAUCAGAUGAAAUUCAUGUCGAAGCAGCUUCUACAUCGUACCACUGCAAAAACAUGAUUUCCCAACCCAAAAAUUUCAAUGAUACACACUGCAUGCAUCCAUGCAUGAAAAGACCAAGAAUAAGAAGGAAAAAAAAAUCAAAGGCCCAAAAGUGCUACACAUUUCCCUUCCCCAAAGAUAAUGAUUCUCAUGUUUAGUAAAGGAGACAAUAAUAUUUUGCUUUGCGUCUACUUAACCAAUAUAUAAUUCUAUAGCUUUUGAAUGAUUUUAUUUGUUUUGAUCUGAUAAAAAAAAGUAAAAGUUUAAUUACUAAAGUCAACAGUUUUUACUUUUUCAUCAUAAUUUAUUUUUAAUUUAAAAAUUUAUGAAAUAAUUACAAAUGAAUAAACGAAUAAUUUUAAUAUAAUUACAUAAACGAAUCUUGUAAGAGAUAGAGAAAUAUGGGUAAAAGAAUAAACAAAUCAAUAUUACAACAUGUGCUAACAAUAAUUAAUUAAUGUUGUGGAUGAUGAAGAAUUAAUGGGUGGUGGCAUUGUUAGAAAUGGCAGAAUAAGCUUUCUUGAAACGUUUCCACCUCUUUGGUUGUCAAUUGUUGCGACUGUAGAAGCCCAAUUUUAUUCGAGUCCAACCAAACAGAAAUUAAACCAAAAUAAAAAUAAAUAAAUAAAUAAAUUUGGUCUAGAUUCCAUAUCAGACCCACAUUACAUCAAGCCCAUAUGGCUCAAAAAUAAUGAAAACCCUAAAGGCCCCAGACCCAAUAGCUUAAAUUAUUUCAGAAAAGAAACAGAAACCCUAGCUCCUUGUGCCGCUACUCGUGCCACAUCAGCACGCUCUCGCCCCGAGGUCUGCCACUGUCAAUGCCUUUGCCACCGUUGACUCAACCACCACCUGCAAAGAAAAAGCAACACGCAAAGAACAAUAAAAAAUAGAAAAAGAAAUGUUGUAAUUCUACUAUAAAAGAGCUUAAAAAAACCAAUUGUAAAGGGGGGAUUUUUGAAAAAAAAUCAAUCGAAAUACAAAAAUAAAAAAAAUAUUUCAAUUUUUUUGUUUAUUUAUUUUUUCUAAAGCAAAAAAAAAGCAAAUAUAUAUAAUAAAAAAGAGAGGCGAAUCGAAAAAGAUCGAAGCUUUUUGUUUUUGUUCUUUUUUUUUUAACCUUUUUAGGCUUUUAGUCCUCAAAUCCGAGCUUUGGAAGUCAAAAGGCCGAAAAAAGGAGACUUUUUCGUUUUCCGACCAUGACGUCGCGGUGGAGCUCAACAGUUUCCUUGGCUGGAUUUGGGGUCUAUUUCAGAGAAAAGGGAAAGAAGAGAGGAUUUUUUUAAGGGCAGAGAGGAAAUGAUUUUUUUUCCUAAUUUUUUUUGUCUUUAUAGGCCUCCAAAACAACACCGUUUUGGGGGUGACCUCAGACGUUCAAAACAACAUCGUUUUGACGUGACCUAUGGUCCGACCCGACUGGCCUCAAGAUUGGGUCAUUUUGGUGCUUCCGCUUUUUAAGCAUUUUUCAGUAUAGUCCUAUUUCUUUUUUUUUUCUUUUUAAAUAUAUCCCAUUUAAUUUAAUUUUUUUUAUUUUGGUACUUUUAAACGAGGCCCAUAGAGAUGUUUGGGAUAUUUUCCCGCUUGGUCCCUGUCCCUUUUAGCGUGUUUCAUUUUGAUCCCCUAUUCUUUUUUUUUAUUUUUACAAUUUACGCCUUAUAAUUUCAUUUAAAUUUCAAUUUAGUCCUUAUUUAUUUUAUUACAAGUUAGCCCCUUUAUUAUUUAUUUUAUUCUAAUUUACCCUAAUAUUUCAUUUAAAUUUUAAUUUUAUCCUUUGCUUAUUUGAUUUCAACCCUCUUUACAAAUUGUUUUAUUUAUUUGUUUGUUUGUUUAUUUUCUAUUUAUUUAUUAUUUCUUUCUUUAUUUUUUAUUUAGAAAAAAUCAUAUUGUAUAUAUCCUUUUAUUUGUGCAUUUCUUUGUUCAUUUAUUAUUAUUAUCAUUAUUAUUUUAUCUUUAAUUUUUAUUCUUGUUAUUUUAUUAUUCCUUUAUUAUUUUUGGCACAAUGCAUAAAAAAAUGUAAAAUUUUUAAAUCGUGGCAAUAUUCAUUAUUUUCGGAAUUAGAAAAGUUGUGUCCCUAACUUACGAGAUAUGACUUCUUUUUAAAAAAAACUGAAAUAAUUGAAUAUUCAUUUCAAAAAUAUAAAAACGAGAUUUAAAUAACGACCAAAUGACGUUUAUUCUUGAUUUCGAGGAUUUAAGACAUUUGUGUCCUAACUUACGAGACAUGAUCCUUUUUUCUCGAUUAACUUGAAAUAAUCCAUUUUCAUGAGAAUUAGUUUUGUUAGGUAGUGCAUUAAUACAAAAAAGGGAUUGUGUUUUAAACUCCUUUCGAAUUUUCAAUUCUCGACACUAAAACAUUAAGUAAUCAACUAGGUACCAAUUUUGGGCGUCAUGAGGGUGCUAAUCCUUCCUCGUGCGUAAUCAACUCCAGAACCCAUUUUCUGGAUUUUAUACACCAAAUAUCAUCGUUUUAAUAAAUCAAAUUUUUUAUUAAAAUAAUCAAAUUACGAGGUGAUCCGAUCACACCUCAUAAAAAUGAUUGGUGGCGACUCCCAUUUUCAUUUUAAAAUAAAAAUCGAUUUCAAAAAAAGGGUUUCAACAGUGACCAUUCAACCAUUUUCCUAUUAUUGGCUCCUGGUCCAUAACAUUUAUAUUCUCUGUAGAACACCGUGCUGCAAAUAUCAGACAAGAAAAUUGUUAAGCAUUGUUUCAAAUUUAAAAUGAUAAACAAAUAGAUAAACAUAUUACAUUGCAUUUCUUUUAUGUUAACUUUGCUUGCAUGAGUUGCCCCAAUCAUCUCAACCCUGAGGUAGUAUAACAUUAGACAUAUAUGUUAGGGCAAAAAUGAGUCGGAUGUAACACCCUUAACCCGUAUCUGUUUUCGAAAUAGGGUUACGAUGCAUUACCUAUCAUAUCACAUCAUUCACAUACAAAUUUUAAGCACUAUUCGCAUAUAUCGUCAUAUCUCAUUCAUUCAUAAACACAUUGUCCCUUAUAUAGGUCUACGAGACCUUAAAACAUACUUUAAAGAGGUUCGAGACUAAACCGAUAACAUUAGCAAACUUUAAGAAACUUAGAAAAAUUUCAAUAUUAAAAAGGAUCACACGUCCGUGUGCCUCACACGGCAUUAGAAGCGCCCAUGUGUCUAGGCCGUGACAAAACAGGGCAUACAUACUGAACUCACCAUACGGCUACAAGAUACGCUCGUGUGCCAGGCCGUGUGAAAAUUAGGGAGGUUACUGACUUGGCCACACGGCUAACCACACACCCGUGUGUCUAGCCCGUGUUCAAAACUGAUUUGUAUAACUAAGUUACAAUAGACAUACAGUCGAGACACACGCCCGUGUGGGGCAAAAUUAGGCUUGGUUUAAACCUCAUUUCCCACCUAUCUCAAGCACACCGAAACCACAACAUUUUUGCAUCAUUUGCAUACAUUUAUAGGCAACCAAAUCAUGCCAUUUCAUACACAUAAUUAUACCAAAACCAUUUCAUUCAAAUUCCAUAAUCAUUUCAAGUCAAAUAUCUAUUCAAAACUUGUAUCAUCUACAUUCAUUCAUAAGCAUAUAUCAUCUCUACUAUCAACUAAUUCAUGCUUCCCAAACACAUCCCAAAUCAUCAUCUUCAUAUCAUUCCAUAACAACCAAAUCACAAGGUAACCAUUACCAUAAUUAUCAUUUAUCAAACUCAUAGAUCAAACCAACUUAGAUGGCUAAAAACACAUCAACAUUACAACAUUCAAAAGCCAAAACUCAUGGCUAAUUACAUCAAACACUUAGGCAUCAAUUGCCAACAUUACUUAUACACUUCAUAAACCAACUAGCCUAUACAUGCCAUAUAAAUAAUUUCAAAAAGCUUUUAAGUACCGAAACAAUAGCUGGAUAGUGUGAUACGAUCUCCGAUGACUUCCAACCUGAGUGAGCCUCUGAAACACUAUAAACAUAGAAAAGAAAGCAAAGUAAGCUAUAAAGCUUAGUAAGCUCGUAUGGCUAAUAAACUCAUAAUAUCAAAUAACCAUAAUUUAAGCAGUUACUCAAAGUAUAAUUUCAUCAUUCUAUCAUAUACUUAUUUGCAUCGUCAACUAUGAAUUUCACUAAUCUAUUAAAUUUCAUAGUCAUAUGAUCUGAGUACAUGUUCUUAAUUCAUUUACCAUUUCAUAUGCAUAUGCAACUAGACAUAUAUUACAUUCAAUUUAAUAGCUAUCACCUUUAUAUAGCCAAAUAAACCAUAGGAAACCUCAUAAAUUUCCACUUACUCAUCAUAUGAAUUUCACACAUGUCAUUUACUUGUCGAUUUCUGUAUGAGUACCUGAACUGAAUCACAUCAUCGCUUAUAUUUCUUUGUACACCAUCUUUACUCAUUAACUCGUCUACACAUCGAUGAAAACACAUCAUCUCAAUUUAAUAUUAAUAAAUAUAAUGAGUUCAUAAACCUUUCACAUUUCAUUCCAAACUUAAAUAUGAAUUUCACAAGUUUCUUUGAUUCAAUGCUCAUAUAACCCAUGUAUAUACCAGUACCUUCCCGUAUAUAACUCUUACUUUAUCACAUCUUUGGCAUAUUUGUUAUCCAUUUGUAAUAUUUUUGGAUACCCAGAAACUCACACAUAGUGCCAAAUAAAUAGCCGAAGCUAUAUCAAUCUCGUACACUAAGUGCCAAUAUGUAUAUAGAGCUGGAGCUAUCUCAAUCACGCACACUAAGUGCCAAUAUAUGUAUAUAGCCGAAGUUAUCUGAUCUCACACACUUAGUGCCAAUGUAUUUAGCCGAAGCUAUCUGGUCUCGCACACUUAGUGCCAAUAUAUUUAGCCAAAGCUAUCUCAGUCUCGCACACUUAGUGCCAAUGUACAAUAUAUAUAUAAUUGAAGCUAUUUAAAUUUAGCACACCUGGUGCCAAUACAUAACUGAAUCGUUGUCAAACAUGUAUAUAAUCUCGUAUUCACAUUUUAGACAAUAUUAAAGCAUUUAAAAAUCUUAUAUCAAUGCUUAUUACAUACGAACUUACCUCAAUCGUCAGAACGACGAAAUGGAUCGACUAGUCUGAAUCUUUGCUUUUCCUUCGAUCUAGACCCGCACGAGGCUUAACUUGAUCUAAAUAAUCAAAUUCAAUCCAUUUAUUAUACAUUCUAGACAAUUCAGCCCAAAAUACAAAAUUUUUAAAAAUUACACUUUUGCCCCUAUUAUUUCACAUUUUUGCAAUUUAGUCCUUAUCACAUAAAAUCAAAAAUUCAUGCAAUUUCAUCUUACCCAUGCUUAGUCGAAUUCUUCUUAUUAUCUUAGCAGCCCACAUUUUCUAUAUAAUCACACUUUUAACCACAUAAUUUCAAUAUUUCACAAUUUAAUCCCUAUUUUGUAUUUUUACUCAAAAUCACUUAAUAAAACUUGUAAAACUAUCAUCAAAGUUUCAUAAUCCAUUAUUAAAAAUCAAUUAAAACUUGUAUUCAAUGAUGGAAAUUAUCAAAAUCUUUAACAGUUUCGAAAUCGGAGGUACGGGCUAGCUAGAUUACAAAGCAACGAUCUUAAAAACAUAGAAAUCAUUAAAGCCGAUCAAAAAUCGUACCUUAAUUUGGAAUUGAAUUUGCCGACAUUAAAAGCACAAAAAUGGAUUCUAUUCACUCAAUAUUCGGUAGUGGAAGAUGAAUGAAACACAUAUUUCAAUUUGUUUUAUUUAAUUAUUCAUUAUUAUACCAAAUUACAAGUAUACCCUUAAUUAAUUCUUUUAAAACACUUAAUAAGCAAGCCCAUAAUUGUCCACUCAUAAAGCCAAUGGUAUAAUUACUAAUUAAGGACUCCUACUAUUUAAUUUCAUAGUGAUUUAGUGCAUUUAACUAAUAGAUCUCAAUUUUUACUCUUUACGCUAUUUAGUCCUUUUUACCGAAUUAAACACUCAAACGGUAAAAUUUCUUUACGAAACUUUCACACAAUAAUUCAAUCAUGCUAUAAACUUUAAUAAAAUAAUAAAAUAUUUUGAAUUCAGAUUGUGGUCCCGAAACCACUGUUUCGAUUAACCCUAAAAACAGGCUGUUACACUGGAAUAUGUGCCCCAUGGCUUUCCUAAUACAGCAAUCCUCACCCCAGUUAUCUUGCAACCUAAGAAUGAAAACCCUAUCUCUUCUGAUGGUGACUCCUUUCGUUGGGCUAUAAUUGAUGCAUCUCUUUCUGAGAGUGUAUGCAAAUGACACCUCUGAAAUAACCGCCACACAAAUUCAUAUGUAAGUUACUCUUCAUUUCACUUAAAAUCCUCAUAUCUAACACAUACUUGGACAUGAUCAUAUGGGAUAUAAUAUGUUAAAGAUCCUCCAAAUAUUUUGAACACAUUUAUGUACCCGGCACUUAAAGAAAUUACCAAGUAACCGAUUGCUAAAAUAUGUUACCUCAAAAAGGGAAACGACAUUCCCAAAAAUGAAGUCCACGGCUCCUUCAAUGUAACAAUUGCUGUAAUAAUGUCUUCUGGUGUCAUCUAAAAAUGUAUCCUGGUAAAAUAGAAUUCUGUAUCCAAAUAAAGCAGCCCUAUCUCCAGACACCCGUAAUGCCACUGCUUUAGCUCCAGGCCCGUACAUAUUUUAUUCACUAAAGUUAUACACAAACAUUUAGUUAACUUGAAAAAUUAAUUGUGUAUUCUAUACUCUACAUGAACAUGGAUGGAGAUGGUAUAUAUACCUUAUAAAUGCCCAAAUUUGACUGGGCCUUAAUAAAAAACAAUCCAUUAACAAAAUUACAAGCUUAAAUAAUGAAAGUACAAGCCCAAAAUACAAAAAAAACCUUAGGCGGCCCGUUGGCCCAAAACUAAACUUAGUUUCAGUAAAAAUUAAAACCCUAACCAGCCUCCAGCGUUGUACCCCCUGCGCCGCUCUAUGUGCCUCAGUAGCGCGUACGCUGCCCAAGGUCUGUUGCCUUACACCAAAACGGCAAAUGAGCCUCUUUUCUCCCCUCCUUUGACUAAGAGCCGAACUUGUAAAAAAAAGGAAAGAACAACAGCAGAGACAACAAAGAAUACAGAAGCAAAAGCAAAUGAUAGAUUGUAACACAUUCGGCUAUAAAAAGCCAGAAUAUCAAUGUAAUUUUCUACGGAGAAAGCAAUCAAAAACAGAGAAAAAUCGAAUUAAAAAAAAGCAAAGAGUUAACAAAAGUAGUUUUUUUUAAAUCUCGUCUAAAAUAGAAAAUAUAAGAGUAAAAGGCUCAAUUUUUACCUAUGGCGUUUUGUCUCUGGUCGUCGUAGGGACUAUCUUUUUUUUUAAAAAAAAAUCCAAGAAACCGAAAGGUUUCAUCUUUUUAUUUUUAUUUUCGAACUUCGAAUCAUUUUUUUGGGAUUUUGAGCCCAGAUCCGUGCUCUACACAAAAAAAAGACUCGAAAGGGAGCCUUUUCCAAUUUUUGGCCACCGGAGGUGGCGAUCUCCGUCACUGAUGACUGGCGGCCACGGUAGAGACUCGUUGGCCCCGUGACCGGAAGGGAGGGUAGCUUCAGAGAAAAAAAGGAAAGGAAAAUAAGUUUUUUUUAAAAAAAAACUAAUUCAAACUGAUUUUUUUAAAAAGAUUUUUCACUUAUAUAAGCAUCUAAAACGGUGUCAUUUUGGGCUUAAGCUUCAGACGUCAAAACGAUGUCGUUUUGAUGUAACCCGACCUACCUGCUAUAGGUUCGCGUGUUUUUAUAUGGCGGGUCUAUUUGAACCUUUAGUCCUUCCGGUUCUGCAGAUUCUUUCAAUUUAGUCCCAUCCCCUUCUUAAUUAUUUUACUUAUCCCCUCUAAUUUAAAAUUGUUAACAAUUUAGUCGCUAGACCACUGUGAACCCGCUUAAAGGAUGACAUGUGUCCCAGGGCUUGGAAUAAUUGCCUAUUUGGUCCCUGCCCCUUUUUCAGCGUGUUUUAGUUUGUCCUUUUAUCUUUUUUUUGUAAUUUAGGCCCUUAAAUUCCAUUCAAAUUUUGAUCUAGCCCCUUUUAUAUUUAUUCGUUUAUUUUAUUAUAAUUUAGACUCUAAAUUUUAUUUUAAUUUCAAUUUAAUCCUUUAUUCGCUUAAUUUCAAGCUUUUAUAAUUUUUUAUAUGUAUAUUGUUCUAUUUAUUUAUUUAUUUAUUUAUACAUUCAUUCAUUUAUCUAUUUCUUCACUCUUCUUAUAUUUAGAAUUUAUAUUGUUAUUUAUUCCUUUAUUUACACAUUUUAUUAAUAUUAAUAUUAAUAUUUUUAGUGUUUAUUUCACUUUUAUUAUUAAAUUAGUAUUAGAAUAGUAAUUAAUAUGAUUAUUGUUAUUGUUAUUAUUUGGUCUUAUUAUUAUAAUUACAUCAUUAAUAUUAUCCUAUUAUUUAUUAUUUACCAUUUUAAUAUUCUACCUGUAUAGUUAUUUUACAUUAUUUCAUUAUCAUUAUACUAUACAUUACGUUUAAAAAUAUUUGUUCGUUUUUCAUACGAUGCUUGAAUAAAUUAAAUAUAUACCAUUUUAAUAAUUUUUACUCGAUGCAUAAAGAGGAAAUUUUUUAAAAUCAAGGCAAUGUUCUGCAUUUGGAGAUUCGAGAAGUUAUGCCCUAACCUACGGGGUUUGACUUUCUCUUUGAACCUAGAUAGCCGAACAUCCCCCUUUCAAAAUUAAAACAUAUGAGAUCUAAAUAGUAAUUAAAAUAAAGAGCAAACUAAUCUUUGAGAAUUCGAGAUGUUAUAUCCUAACUUACGGGAUAUGACCUCUUGUCACCUCGUAAUAAGGGGGAAUUUUACAUACGUUUCAAUUUAUUCAAGUGAUUUAAUUAAAAAUUACAUUAUAUAAAAAGGGAUCGUAUUUUAAGUUCUCUUCAAAUUUUCAAUUUUCAACACUAAAGACAUCAAGUAAUAAAUUAGGUACCAAUUUUGUGCGUCACGAGGGUGGUAAUCCUUCCUCAUGCGUAAUCGACUCCCGAACCCAUUUUCUGAAUUUUGUAGACCAAAAAUUGUCAUUUUAAUAAAUCAAACAUUUUAUUAAAACAGUCAAAUUACGAGGUGAUUCGAUCACACCUCACAAAAAAAGGAUUGGUGGCGACUCCAUUUUCGUUUUUUAAAUAAAAAGUCGACUUCAAAAAAAAAGUUUCGACAUACCUGAAUUGUGAGAUAUCAGCCUACAAAAUCUGAAGCCAACACAGUGAAAGUAGUUGAUUCAAAUAUAUUCCCACUAUCACUCCCAGUAAUUACAGUGCCAUUCGACUUUGAACUACUUAAUGUGAUAAACGGUUUAUCGGUAGGCACAAUAAUCUUUUCAUUAUAGAUUCUAGGCUUAACCAAUAUGAAAAUAAUUUUUUUGUUGUCUGAUGGCACGGCAUCAAUAGCGUAUUGUAUCUUUUCAUAGUCUUAUUUUCCUAAUUGGUCGACUCUUAUAAAAAAAGCUGUUGUUGAAGUUUGAGUAGCGUUUGCUCGAUGGGUACUCACCAUUAACAUGAACAAUGUUACGAAAAAUAGGAAAGCAGCUAUCGUUGCAAAACACAAGAUUGUAAUUAGCUUAAGGAUAUGGUGAAGUAAAUGAUGAAGAAAUGUUAAUGUACGACGACUGGUUUUGUUACGAACAGAUUGUGGUGGAUAUUGUUGUUUUUAUAUAUUACGAGGGGCUGAUUUCUUACGAUGGAAGUGUGACAUAUAAACAUCAAAUUUGAAGCCACAGUGUGUGGAUUAACAUAACAUUAUAUCAAAGAAAAAGGCUGCGGUUAUCGCUUACACAAGCUGCCGGCUGUUAGAGUAUUAACUAAAAGUGGUUAGUCAGUUAGUCAAGGCUGUUAAUAGUUGUUAAAGUAGUUAGUCAGUAACUAUGAAGGUUGGCUUCAGCUAUAUAAAGAUGUGUUUACUCUCCAUUCAAGAUAAGUCAUUGUUAAUACUAAAGCAGUAUUCUUAAGAUAUCAUUCUUAUAUAAUUCAACAUGGUAUCAGAUGUCUAGAGUUCCUGGAGAUUUUCUUUUCUUUCUUUUGCCUAUUAAUGGAGUUUUCGCAGCACUCAGUUCAGUCGGCUGCACCAGCCAUGACUUCUGCUGUUGCUGAUGGCUUUGAUACUCGGUUCUUUUCUACUAAGAAGAUUAGUGUGAUUCUUGAUGAUGACAAUUUUCUUUUGUGGAGACAACAAGUCUUGCUUGCAAUCAAGACUUACAAACUUCAGCGGUUCUUGGAUUCUUGCACUGUUCCACCUCCUUCAACAUUUCCGGAUGCUGAUGGGGUUCACCAAGAAAAUCCGGAGUUCAGUCGUUUUGAGCAGCAGGAUAGUGCGCUUGCAUCUUGGCUCUUGUCUUCUGUAAGUACCACUGUUCUUCCACAUCUUAUUGGUAUGGACACAAGCGCUCAAAUUUGGAAUGCAAUUGCUAGUCUUUAUGGCAGCAAGACCACCUCUCGUUUAAUGUUCUUUUGCAGAGCUUUACAUUCUCAACGAAAGGGUGAUCUUUCCAUAAAAGAUUUUCUAAUGAAGAUUAAGGGUUUUUGUGACAAUCUAGCUAGUUGCGGUGAGGUCAUUAGCGAGCGAGAACAUGUCACUGCGAUUCUCAAUAGGUUACCACCCGAAUAUGACUCAGUUAUCACCAUCAUUACUACUAGUCAUACACCUUAUACUGUUCAAGGGGUCAUGACAAUGUUGAUUGAUGCAGAAGCUCGACAUCAGACAAUGAUUCUGGAGUCUCCUCCCUUGGCUAAUGUAGUUACUCAUCAGCCAUCUGGUUCUGCUGUCAACAGUGAUCUACCUCCGGCAUAUCGUCCAACAACAGCUCCUCGUGGUCGUGGUCGUGGUAGGUUAUCUGGCUCGCGUAUACAGUGUCAGUUAUAUAGAAAAAUGGGGCAUUUAGUUGAUCGGUGCUACCAUCGGUUUAACUCAUCUUAUAAAAAUACUGGUUAUAGACCUCCUCCCUCUCAGGUGAAUGUCUGCAUGUUUGGACAAGGGGCUCCUAUUUCACCUUAGGUGGCAUCAUCUACUCCACCUUAUCUUAAGCCUGGGUGGUUCAUUCCACCUAUUUUGACAAUGCCAUGGACUGGAAAUGCCUCACAAUCUGGUUCCACUUCAACAGUGUCAAAGUCUUCCCCACAAGCUUAUAUUGCCACUUUGGAUAUUGUUUGGGAUAAUGCCAGGUACCCCGACUCCAGUGCAAUGCACCAUCUCACUCAUUCAGCUACUGCUAUUGGUGAGAGUACUCCCUAUAAUGGCCCAGGUAAGGUUUAUGUCGAUAACGACAAUGCUCUUCCUGUAUGCUCCACUGGUCAGUCUUCCUUGCUCACUAGAACUCAUCCUUUGUAUAUGCGUUCUUUGUUGUAUGUUCCUGGUAUAAUGAAAAAUCUGCUUUUAGUCUUACAAUUUACAAAGGAUAAUCAUGUGAUGUUCAAGUUCCUUCCUACACAGUGCCAAGUACGUGACCUGCGUACCAAGGAAGUCCUUUUGCGUGGCUUGGUGCAUCAUGGUCUCUAUAGACUUCAGUUGAAGGACAACCUUCAGCCUCAUCCUUGCUCAGCUUAUGGUCUUAUAACGAGUGUUACUGUGCCUUUUAGUCUUUGGUACGCCAGACUUGGACACCCUUGUACAAGUAUUCUUUCCAAGGCUUUAUCGCAUUGUAAUGUACCUUUUGAUUCAAAUAAAGAUUAUUUGGUUGUGUUGCAUGUCAUCUUGGAAAAGAAAGAAAUCUACCGUUCUCUCAUUCUACUUCUGAGUAUGUCACUCCUUUGAGUUUAGUGGUUGCUGAUGUUUGGGGUCCGGCAUCGAUAUCUUCAAAUAGGUUUCGGUAUUAUGUGGCUUUCACCGAUGCCUGCACCAGAUAUACUUGGGUUUACUUCAUGCGCCAAAAGUCUGAGGUUUCAACCAUAUUUCCCCAGUUCCUUCGAAUGGCAGAGGUUGCUUGGGUUCAAGCUUAAGAUACUUCAAUCAGGGGGUGAGUCCCAUGCUUUAAAAGGAUACUUAUCUCAAAAAGGAAUCUUAUACAGAUUUACAUGUGCAUACACGUCAGCUCAGAAUGGAAUUGUUGAAUGCAAGCAUCGGCAAAUUGUGGAAGUUGCCUUGUCUAUGCUGGCUCAUGCUUCCAUGCCAUUGAGCUUUUAGAAUGAUGCCUUUGCUAGUGCAAUUUAUCUUAUCAACCGUUUACCCUCUUCCCCCUUAGGCUCUCUCUCACCUUAUGAAAAAUUGUUUCAUAAUAAACCUUGUUAUCCUUCGUUUAAGGUGUUUGGUUGUCUGUGUUUUCCAAACUUGAGACCCUAUAACAACCAUAAACUACAAUUUCGAUCCCUCCCUUGUACAUUCCUAGGCUACUCUUCUUUACACAAAGGAUAUAGAUGCUUGGGCCCUGAUGGAAAGAUUUAUGUGUCUCAUCGUGUGAUAUUUCAUGAAACCUCUUUUCCUUUUCAAACACUAUGUUCCAGUCCAAAGCCCACUACUGUUCCGUCUAGCAGUUCUAAACUGCUUGUUUUAUCCCCAUCUGUCAGACAAGCUAUACCAUCACAGUCGGUUCCCAUCAAUUUCUCACCUAACCCCACUAUUUCUCUAGAGCCUAUACCCAACUCUACAAGUCCAAGGCCAACCAUUUCUUCACCUAGUCCUCCUUUGUCUAGCUCCCACAGUUCCCCUUUAUCUAGUUCUCACCUAUCUAAUUCGUCUAGCUCCACACCUUCACUUCCUCUCAACUUCCAUCUAAUGAUCACUCGGGGUAAAGCAGGCAUCUUCAAGCCAAAGGUUUUUUUGAGUUCAGCUUCUUCACUUUCCUUUGAGACACCAUCUGAUAAACAUGAGGCCAUGCAACAUGAGUACUGGAAAGCUGCAGUUCACAACGACCUUCAAGCUCUUCUUUCCAAUGGUACUUGAAGUCUUUGUUCUCUUCCCAGCAAUCGCAAGGCCAUUGGAUGCAGGUGGCUUUUUAAAGUCAAAAGGAAGGUAGACGGGACUGUAGAUAGAUAUAAGGCUCGGUUAGUUACAAAGGGGUUCUCGCAGCACGCCGGCUUGGAUUUCAGAGACACUUUCAGUCCUAUUGUGCGAUCAGUGACCAUUCGGACAGUUCUCACUAUUGCAGUAAUGCAAGGGUGGCGCUUAAGGCAGAUUGAUGUCAACAAUGCCUUUCUCAAUGGCAGGCUGACUGAAGACAUUUACAUGGACCAGCCACCUGGUUUUGAAGUGCUAGGUGCUAAUGGACAGCCUCUUGUUUGUAAGCUAAACAAAGCCUUAUAUGGCCUUCGACAAGCACCUCGUGCUUGGUUUUACACUCUCAAGCAGUUCCUUAUGGAUCGGUUGGGCUUUCGUGUUUCAAAAGCAGACCCCUAUUUGUUUGUUCGUGUCUCCUCCAGUGACUGCUUGUUUCUUAUAGUGUAUGUAGAUGAUAUUGUGAUAACUGGUAACUCGUCUACUGCCAUUGAUACUGUUUUCAAACAACUCCAUCACAGAGGACAUGAGCCAUCUCAAAUUUUUUUGGGCAUUGAGGUUCACCAUCAUGCACAGGGGAUCUUUCUUAGUCAGAAGAAGUAUGUUCUAGAGAUUCUUAAAAAGGCUAAUAUGCUUGGCGCAGCAGUCACACCUACAUCUAUGGUCAGCAUGCCUAAACUUGUCACCUCUGAUGGAAGCUCUCCGAUGGUUGAUGCACACCUAUAUCGAAGUGUGGUUCGUAUGCUCCAGUAUCUUUGUAUCACCAGACCUGAUUUGUCAUUUUGCGUCAAUAAGCUGAGCCAAUUCAUGAAUUCCCCCAGCGAGCUGUAUUGGAAGGCUGUUAAGCGGGUUCUACGCUAUCUUGUUGGGACCAUGGAGCAUGGUUUGAGUUUUUCAAAAGGGUCGUUUCAGUUGGAAUGUUCUCUGAUGCUGACUGGGAUUCAUCUCUGGAAGAUCGCCGAUCCACUACAGGUUAUGUAGUGUAUCUUGGUCCAAAUCCGGUUGCAUGGUGCUCUAAAAAACAAGCUGUUGUCUCUCGGUCCUCGUCCGAAGCUGAGUAUCGAAGUCUUGCAAAUUACGUGUCAGAACUGUUAUGGGUUCGUCAACUAUUAAAGGAACUUGGUAUACAGGUUAGUUCAACUCCAGUGGUCUGGUGUGAUAAUACAUCCACGGUUUCCAUGGCAGCAAACCCUACGCACCAUGCUCGGGUCAAACACGUGGAGAUUGAUUAUCAUUUUGUCCGAGAAAAGGUUCUUGAUGAAUCUCUUCAAGUCAAUUUUGUUCCUCAGCCAAUCAAAUAGCUGAUGUUCUUACUAAACCAAUUACUUCAAAGCAUUUUGCUGCGUUUCGCACUGCUCUUAAGGUUCUGUCUACUUCAGACAAGGUUACAAACUUAGAGGAAAACGGGAAGAAUGUUAGAGUAUUAACUAAAGGUGGUUAGUCAGUUAGUCAAGGCUGUUAAUAGUUGUUAAAGUAGUUAGUCAGUAACUAUGAAGGUUAGCUUCAGCUAUAUAAAGAUGUGUUUACUCUCCAUUCAAGAUAAGUCAUUGUUAAUACUAAAGCAGUAUUCUUGAGAUAUCAUUCUUGUAUAAUUUAACACCAGCAACUAGAAAUUUUGUUAGAAACUCGGCACUUGUAAUUUAAAAUGAGUUUAAUAUGGUUCACGAAUCUCAAUUAUUUGCACCAAUAAUAAAGUAUACUUAGAUUGGCAUGGAAGUUAUCACGUUAAUACAAUUAAAAUUUCAACAAUUCAGUCAACUUUUACAUCUAAAAAAAAUUAUCUAAACUUUGAAGGAUUAAAACUAAAAUUUUCUAAAGAAAAUAAAAUAAAAUAAAAACACGAGAAUGAUAAGGAUUAAAUACAUGAAUUAUAAAUUACAACAAAGUUUUUUAAUCAUUGAAUGAUUAUAGAAGUACAUUUAGUGGAAAAUUAAUAAUAAAAAUUAAUUAUCUCUCUACGGUAGUAAUAAUUUAUUUAAUUUUCAAAUUCAAUAAAAUAAUUUAAUUUAGCCUAAUUGAAAGGAAUAGAUUAGGUUGGGCUUCUUGAAAUUGAAGUUAGAAAUGUUAAUUUGGACAAAUGUUGUAGCUAUUUUUGCAAUAUUUUUAAUUGCAAGUCUUGAGAUUGCUUAAAAAUUACCUUACGGUCUAUUAACUUUCUAGUUCAAAUUCUUUGUAAUCUUUGUUUUAAUGGUUGAGUUGACCAUGGCAUUGGUGGCUGCCCUUUUGUCUUUUGACCUUUUCAAACUGGCUUGGGCUUUGCUUAUGUUUUAAUACUUUUGGGUCAGCAAAUUGAUUAAGGUUUAAAUCUAGUCACAAUCCACCCGAAAAGGAGUUUAUUGAUUAAGGCUAAUUGUUCAUCAAGUUGAAUGUCUGUGGGUUGAAUUAUCUAUCUAAACUUAAAGUUUAAGCCGAGAUGUUUGAGGAGUUGAAUAAAAAUGUUAAACUAAAAGAGAGUUAGACGUUAAAAUUUUUAAUUAUAUUUCUUCUCCAAUCCCAUGUCGAGGACUCUUUUGUAUAUUUUUUUUGAAGGUUUACUAUUACAAGUAUACUUGUUUAAAAUAAUUAUAUCAUAAAAUUAAAUUAGUGUAAAACCAUACAUAUGAAUUGAAAAUGAGCAUACCUCCAAUUGAACUUGUAAUUAGCCAAUUUUGGCCUAAGCCUGAAGCAAGAAUAAAACGAAAGCAAUAAAACCCAUUACAUGUUGAAAUCCAAACCCAAACAACCAAUUACAUCAAACCCUAGCCCAAAUCCUAGCCCACUGUCCUAAAUUUUUUUUUCAGCAAACUAACCCUAGGGCUAGUCCCUAUUGUGGCUGCCGUUCCCACCAUUGGCCUCUCCACGCAUACUUAGCCACCUCGCACGCUAACCACCGCUCACCCAUGCCUCUGACACCUGCAGAAGAAGUGAAUGCAACAGAGACAAGGAAGAAAACGACAAAAAAUAUGAUUGAAUCGUCUUGUAAAUGGCUUUAAAAGCCAUAAUCUCACCUUUGUCAAUUUUUUACGAACACUUUACGAACGAAGAUUAAUAAAAAAAGAACGAACUUUUUUGAAGGUGCUUUGUUAUUUGCAUUUAAAUUUCUAUUUAUUUUAUUUUUUUCAUUUUAUUGUACAUGCGAAAGUAUAAAAAGUGAGAGGGGAAAACUUACUGGAAUCUCUCCGUAGAUCCGUCGUUGGAGAUUUCUUCUCCAUCGCCGAAAUCAAGCAUCAAAGGGGGCGGUGGUUUUCAUUUUUGCCUCUUUUUUUUUGAGACUUUAGCCUACAAAUAGGCUUUUAUUUUUUUUAAAAAAGGCAGAGGGCUAAAAACCCACAUUUUCUCGUUGCCGGCCGCCGGAUACGGUGGCGAUGGGACGGUGCCCUUUUUUGAAUGGCCAAACAAAGAGUUGAGAGGCAUGGGGGGCCUCUGUUUUUUUUUUAAACGGAAUGACAAAAAUGAAAGAAAAAAAACCAUUUGAUUUUUAUGCAGAUUUGAAACGGUGUUGUUUGGUUCUUGGGGGUGACCCAGGCGUUUUCCCUAAAGGGGAGAUUUUCGCGAUUAGUCCUUCCCUUUUGCAGCUCCAUUCGAU